CCCAUGAACUCAUCAGAAAGAAACCCCAUCGACGGCAUUCCUCUGGCGGCGGCGGUGGUUCAGUGGUCUUUGUAGGCUUUAUCAUUUAUAUGGCUCCCCCUCAACGCCUUUCUCAUAUAUGGCUUGAAGCAACAACAAGGUGAACACAAAGAUCCCACAUCUAUUUUUUUAUUCUUCAAAGUAAAAAUUGAAGGUUUCAUUUUCUUCUUUUUUUUUGUUGCGUUUUGAUUUUUUUAAAGAAAUGUUGCAUUGUAUUCUUGUAACAUAGAUAAAGAAUUUAUAUAUACUUUGAUUAUUAUCAGGGGCGAUACUAGGCUCACUUUGCCUGAUGUCUUGUUACUAGGAUAAACAAAUAUUUUACCUAGCAUAUAUUUUAAAAAAAUUAUAUGUACUACUUGAGCUGCACCAGGAUCAAUUUUGUAUUGAUUUUGUCCCCUAUUACUAUUGCACAUAUACAUAGAAAAUUUUUUAUACGUGGAAUACCCAACUAUAAAAUCCUAGCUCCGCCACUGUCAGAGAGGAAGGUGUCAGAGAGGAAGGUGUGUAGAGAGGGGGGAAAUGGCCCUACUGUGCCGGAGAUUUGUCCCCUUUCUGUCACGCCCCGUGCAUGACCUUGUCGGAAGCAUGGAGGACAGCACUGCGUCCAUCAGACAAAACUGCAGCCCCAGAGCCUUGGGUGCUCGGGGCGCUAGGUUCUGUUGAAUAUAAUGGGCCUUUAGCCCAUAAUUAUAUUUAAUGAUUAAUUAAAGAAUCCAUAAUAAAUGCUAUAAUGAAAACGGUUUAGUACUGUAUUGAUGAUUGACCAUGUGUUAACUCAACUUAAAUAUGUGGCUUUUGUUAGCUUCUAUGGAGAACUUGAGGAAGGGAAAAAGGGUGCCACACGCGCGCGCCCCGCUGCCACCGUCGAGCCGUGCCGUGCCGAGGCGUGGCGUGCGUGCGUUCUUGUAUUGUUGCUAAUUGAUGGACUCGGUUUAUGGCAAUUAAAUGUGAUUAAUUGUCAUCAAUCAGACGUUUCCUCCUGGGGCCUAUAUAUUCCAUACGCGUGACACUCUUUCCUUACGUGCGAGACACAAUCAGUCCUCUCGCUUUGUAUCGAGUUGCUCUCUGUUUGUUCCCGUCCUGAACCUCUGCGCGCACAGAGAUCGGGAGAGCAGGCCUCCGGAACCCGACGUCCUACAUCGAAGCGUCUUCCGCGACUGCUCACCGAUGAGAUCGUCUUCUUCCACUCCGGCGGAUCGAGAUCGACUACUGCGUUCGUGGGACUGCACUGCGAACAUCUUCCUACAUCGACUGUGGUCCGCUACUUCACGCAACGCACUAUAUCGACUAGUGCGAAUGGAGCCGCCGGUGCCUUCGGCACUGGUCCCUCCUCGGGGUACAAUCCUAAUCGAUUGUCUUUUAUUUUCAGUAUGUCUGUUGUAGUUGCAGUAGUUCUUGCAAUGUUUAUCUCUAAACUGAGUAGUGAUAAAAUUGCACACGUGCACAUAUAUACCACCACAAUAUUAUGCGUAAUUUUCUAGAUUAAAUCAAACAUUAAAAUGUCUAAUUUUGUAACAAUCCAAAAUCUGAUAUUAGGCAUUUUUGUGUUAGUGGUUUUGCUGCUGCGUUAAAACCGGAUGCGUUUGAUGGUUCAAACUAUAAGCGGUGGCGCGCGAGAAUGAUAUUGUGGUUAACUGCUAUGAGUUGCUACAACGCCGCGAAGGGGAAGGCGGAACAGUUUACUCCUGAUGAGGAGCAAACGUUCAUGGCAGCGGAUAACCUCUUUAGAGGCGCCGUGAUUAGUGUGCUCGAUAAAAAGUAUGUUGACAACUAUAUCAUUUGCACCACUGCUAAGGAAUUAUGGGAUGAGUUUGAGGCCAAGUUCGGGGUUUCUGAUGCUGGUAGCGAGCUGUACCUCAUGGAGCAACUGUUUGAUUACAAAAUGGUGGAUAACCGUUCUGUGAUUGAACAAGCACAUGAGAUACAGGCACUAGCUAAGGAAUUAGAACAAUUCUCUUGUGUGUUGCCUGAAAAGUUUGUGGCCGGUGGUAUAAUCGCUAAGCUGCCACUUUCUUGGAAGGAUUUUGCUACUUCUCUAAAACAUCAGAGGAAAGAGUUUGGUCUUGCCGAACUCAUGGGAACUCUUGAUGUUGAGGAGAAGGCGUUGAGUCUUCUAGUGCCAAUGUGGUGCAAAAGAAAAGGCAAUUCGCAUUCCGUAAUAAAAAAAAGAACAAGCAAGAGAACAAGCAAGGGACAAAUAUGAAGCCAAAGCAAACUGCAACUUUUAAGAAGAAAAAGACAGAUGGAGGUUGCUUUGUUUGCGGUAGCGAUGACCACUGGGCAAGUGCUUGUCCACAUCGCAAAUUCAAACGAGAAGAGAAAAAGUCAGUGAAUAUGGUCAUUAGCGAGGCUGAAGGAGGAACAUCUUGGUAUGGUAAUUAUUUAUCUAUUGUUCUUUCAGUCUGACAUUCAUCUGAGUGGUGGAUGGAUACUGAGGCUAAUUUUCAUGUAUGUGCUGACAUCUCUUUGUUUUCUUCUUAUCAGGCCGGCGACACUGGAGCCUUACUGAUGGGGAAUGGCUCUCAUGUGCGUGUUCUUGGUGUUGGUACGGUCAUUCUGAAGUUCACUUCGGGAAAGACGGUGCUGACGAAGAACGUGCAGCAUGUCCCCUCCAUAAAAAAAAUCUAGUUAGCGGCUCACAGCUUUGCAGAGAUGGCUACAAUAUAGUCUUUGAGGCCAAUAAAAUUAUACUUUCAAAGUUUGGAACUUUUAUUGGUAAAGGUUAUGAUUGCGGAGGCUUGUUCCGCUUAUCUAUGCAUGAUGUGUGUAAUAAAAUCGUGAACCAUACUAUUAUUUCGAAUGAGUUUGGCAUUCGCGAUUUUGUCUUGUUAAUUAUGGUUGUUUAACGCGGCUAGCAAAUAUGAAUUUAAUCCCGAAAUUUAAUUUAGUCAAAGGUUCUAAGUGCCAUGUAUGUGUGCAAUCUAAGCAACCUCGCAAGCCUCACAAGGCUGCGGAGGCGAGGAACUUGGCACCAUUAGAAUUAAUCCAUUCCGAUCUAUGCGAGAUGAAUGGUGAGUUGACUAAAUGUGGUAAACGAUACUUCAUUACAUUUAUAGACGAUUGUACUAGAUUUUGUCAUGUGUACUUGCUUAAAACAAAGGAUGAAGCAUUACAAUAUUUUAAAGCCUAUAAAGCUGAAGUAGAAAAUCAACUUGAGAGGAAAAUUAAACGCUUAAGGUCCGAUCGCGGUGGAGAAUAUUUUUCAAGUGAUUUUUCUGAUUUCUGCGUAGAACAUGGAAUUAUUCAUGAGAGGACACCGCCAUACUCACCACAGUCCAAUGGAAUUGCUGAAAGAAAGAAUCGUACUCUAACUGAGAUGGUUAACGCCAUGUUAGAGACUUCGGGACUAUCUAAAGAAUGGUGGGGUGAGGCGAUAUUGACAGCAUGUUAUGUCCUGAAUAGAGUUCCUACAAAGAAUAAAGAAAUCACACCAUUUGAGGAAUGGGAAAAUAAAAUAAUAAAUGUCUCCUAUUUGCGUACUUGGGGUUGUUUGGCUAAAGUGAAUGUGCCAAUAAACAAGAAACGCAAACUCGGACCUAAGACAGUUGAUUGUAUUUUUCUUGGUUAUGCUACUCACAGCGUAGGGUAUAGAUUUUUAAUUAUAAAUUCUGGAGUACCAGAUAUGCAUGUUGGUACUAUAAUAGAAUCAAGAGAUGCAACAUUCUUUGAAACUGAGUUUCCUAUGAAAAGUACACCUAAUAUUUCUAGUCAUGAGUCUAUAAAUUACCAUGAGCAAUUUAUUCCGAUAGAACAAUCUGAGGAACCUCAUGUUCACUAUCCUGAGGAGGAUGAUAAUGUAGUCACUCGAACGAGCAAAAGACAAAAAAAAAGUGAAGUCUUUUGGAGAUGACUAUAUUGUGUACCUCGUGGAUGAUACCCCAACAACCAUUAAAGAGGCACUUUCCUCUCCUGAUGCUAACUUGUGGAAGGAAGCAAUAAGGACUAAGAUGGAUUCAAUAAUGUCUAAUGGAACUUGGGAAGUGGUUGAACGGCCUUAUGGGUGUAAACCUAUAGGGUGUAAAUGGGUGUUCAAGAAAAAGCUUAGGCCUGAUGGUACAAUUGAGAGGUACAAGGCUAGGCUUGUGGCUAAGGGUUAUACCCAAAGAGAAGUGGAAUAUUUCUUUGAUACUUAUUCACCUGUUGCCCGUUUGACCACAAUUCGAGUGUUACUAUCUUUGGCUGCCUCUCAUGGUCUUCUCAUUCAUCAGAUGGAUGUGAAGACAGCUUUCCUAAUUGGAGAGUUGGAGGAAGAGAUCUAUAUGGAUCAGCCUGAUGGAUUUGUAACAAGUGGUCAACAGGGCAAGGUGUGUAAGUUAUUAAAAUCCCUAUAUGGCCUAAAACAAGCUCCAAAAUAAUGGCAUGAGAAGUUUGACAGAACUUUAACUUCUGUCGGCUUUGCUGUUAAUGAAGCUGACAAAUGUAUGUACUAUAGGUUUGGUGGGGGUGAAGGUGUGAUCCUUUGUCUGUACGUGGAUGACAUACUGAUCCUUGGGACAAGCCUUGAUGUGAUCAAGGAAGUUAAAGACUUUUUGUCUAAUAACUUUGAGAUGAAAGAUUUGGGAGAAGCUGAUGUUAUUCUAAACAUUAAGCUUUCAAGAGAAGGUAAUGGUGGGAUUACACUUGUGCAAUCCCACUAUGUGGAAAAGAUUUUAAGUCGCUUUGGGUAUAGUGACUGUCAAUCUGCUCCUACGCCUUAUGAUCCUAGUGUGCUAUUGAGGAAAAAUCAAAGAAUAGCAAGGGAUCAACUAAGAUUCUCCCAAAUUAUAGGCUCAUUGAUGUACCUUGCAAGUGCCACGAGGCCUGAUAUCUCGUUUGCAGUGAGCAAACUUAGCCGGUUUGUGUCAAAUCCGGGAGAUAUUCAUUGGCAAGCUCUUGAGAGAGUGAUGCGCUAUCUGAAAUGUACUGUGAGCUAUGGCAUUCACUAUACCGGAUACCCAAAGGUAUUAGAGGGUUAUUGUGAUGCAAAUUGGAUAUCUGAUGUUGAUGUUAAAGGCCACAAGUGGAUAUGUGUUUUUGCUUGGAGGUGGCGCUGUUUCAUGGAAGUCUUGCGAGCAGACUAUCUUAACGAAGUCAACCAUGGAAGCAGAACUCACAGCAUUAGACACCGCCGGCACUGAGGCCGAGUGGCUUCACGAACUCCUGAUGGAUCUACCGGUGGUUGAAAAAACUGUGACGGCUAUUUCCAUGAACUGUGACAAUCAAACGGUGAUCACAAAAGUCAACAGUUCUAAGGAAAACAUGAAGUCUACUAGGCAUGCCAAACGGCGUUUGAAGACUGUCAGAAAAUUGAGAAACUCCGGAGUUAUAGCAUUGGACUAUGUCCAUACAUUUAAGAAUCUGACAGAUCAAUUCACAAAGGGACUAUCCCGUAAUGUGAUAGAUAGUGCAUCGAGUGAGAUGGGUUUGAGACCCACGUGAGGUCUACCAUGGUGGCAACCUAUUCUAUAGGAUCGGAGAUCCCGUGAAGUAGAAUGGUGAAACAAGCCAGAAGUAGAUUGUGAGGAAAGACCCUUUACUUAACUCAUCUCAAUUGCACUUCUUUCCUAAGUCUGUAAGGAAGGCUGGUUAUAUACCUUAAUGUAUUCCAAAGCGGCUUGUGAAGCGAUAGAUGUUGUCCUACAGAACAUCUUUAAGGAAUACACCUAUAUGAGUUUGACUGUUAGUCACAGUCUAUGAGAUUUGGGUGAUCUCUAGAUACUCAUGAAUGGGCUAGAAGUAUGACUUAUAUGCUUCAACCAGAGGGGAUGUUCAUGCAACCCUGUAUCAGUUAUGAAUUUAGAUGAAGCUUAUAUCACAGAAAACUUGCAAUUCAAGGCAUAGUCCAUUGUUCAAGUUGUGACUAAGUGUAGUCUGUACUCUAAGUGGAAGUUCAACUUAACAGUCUCCACUGAAACGACUGGUAUAUGAAACGAUAUGGAAAUUCGAGAGCUUUUCUUAUGUGCCCUAGAAAUAGGUGGGGAUUGUUGAAUAUAAUGGGCCUUUAGCCCAUAAUUAUAUUUGAUGAUUAAUUCAAGUGCCCAUAAUAAAUGCUAUAAUGAAAACGGUUUAGUACCGUAUUGAUGAUUGACCAUAUGUUAACUCAACUUAAAUAGGUGGCCUUUGUUAGCUCCUAUGGAGAAGUUGAGGAAGGGAAAAAGGGUGCCACACGCGCGCGCCGCCGCCGCCGAGCCGUGGCGUGGCGUGGCGUGCGUGCGUGCUUGUCUUGUCUUAUCGAGAUGACACACGAGGACCAGACGUGACAUGGCACACGCGUGGUGAAUAAGGAAAGGGAGGAAAACAAGAUCUUACCGUUGUAUAAUUAAUGGCAAUUAAUUGCUAAUUGAUUGACUCGGUUUAUGGCAAUUAAAUGUGAUUAAUUGUCAUCAAUCAGACGUUUCCACCUGGGGCCUAUAUAUUCCAUACGUGUGACACUCUUUCCUUACCUGCAGGACACAAUCAGUCCUCUCUCUUCCGGUCGAGUUGCUCUCUGUUCGUCCCCGUCCCGAACCUCUGCGCGCACAGAGAUCGGGAGAGCAGGCCUCCGAAACACGACUUCCUACAUCGACACACCUGCUCGGGUGUGCAGGCAAUCAGAUUUUUGGGGAGCGUCUUCCGCGACUGCUCACCGACGAGAUCAUCUUCUUCCACUCCGGUGGAUCGAGAUCGACUACUGCGUCUUCGUCUUUUUCCUGGUGAACGUUCGCGGGACUGCACUGCGAACAUCUUCCUGCAUCGACUGUGGUCCGCUACUUCACGCAACGCACUAUGUCGACUAGUGCGAAUGGAGCCGCCGGUGCCUUCGGCACUGGUUCCUCCUCGGGGUACAAUCCUAAUCGAUUGACUUUUAUUUUCAGUAUGUCUGUUGUAGUUGCAGUAGUUCUUGCAAUGUUUAUCUCUAAACUGAGUAGUGAUAAAAUUGCACACGUGCACAUAUAUACCACCACAAUAUUAUGCGUAAUUUUUUAGAUUAAAUCAAACAUUGAAAUGUCUAAUUUUCUAACAGGUUCUAGCCUAGAUGGCCUGUGCUGGAGACCGGGGGCCAGGGGAUCGGGCCGAGCAUCCCAUUGAUCAGGAGCCCCGAGCAGAGGCGGUGAGCAUACUAGGGCUCUGCCCUAUCGUUGGCCAGAAGGUAUACUUGAGGGGUGUAGCCCCUGAGUCCGCGAGCGAUUCUAGCUAGAGGGGAUCAGGGAUGUAACAUGACCCUAUGUUAGGAUCUAGUGAAACUUCAAGGUCAACACAGCCGAUUAACCAAUGCCAGAUCAAAAUCUGGAAGUAAAAGCUGGUUCCAAACCGGCAGUGAUCCCUAGUUAUGGCCUUAUGGGUAGCCAGAAGCCAAAUGCUUGAUCGAUCCCAAAAAAAAAGUCACUAUCAGGUGCAGCCGGACGUCAAUGAAGGGCCAGUGUUCAGGGAUGAAAACGGUACGGAUAUUUUCCGACCGUAUUCGAGACCGAAUUCGUUUAGAGGAGUUCAGAUCUAUCCGUAUUCGAGUCGGAAUAUUCAACAUCCAAUACUGUAUCCGUAUCCGAAUACUUAAAUCGUAUAUUUAUAAUGUCGACAUCUAAUCCUAUCUUAUGACAUGGUUGACAUUAUCCGUAUUCGAAUCCGAAUCCGACCAAAAAUAUGAAAACAAAUAUGAUAUUGGUGAUAUCUGUCCGUAUCUGGUCCGUUUUCAUCCCUACCAGUAUCAUAUCAAAAAGUCUGGGAUCUGGUGAAAAGAAAAAAUAUAUUUUCCUAAUGCUGUGGCAAUAGCAGGCUGCAGCAUUAUGGGAUGACCGUGUGGUGGAGCACAAAGAACAGAUGAUGGUUUGGUCUUGUACCGAUAGAUACUUCACCUCUAGAUUAACUCAAAGGUAAAACGUGCUGUAGCUACCCUGUUAGGCUUUUACCAAGUUCGUCCCUGCCUUGGUACGGAAGCAUUCCAGUUGAUCAAGUAAACAUUGGAAACAUGAGUUGACUCUUUCUGCUGUAUAGUGGUCGCGAAUGACGAGAUGGAGAUUAUAUAUUAAAUAGUUAUAUGAUCAAGGUGAAGAUACUAUAUAUACAUGUGUUAUAGACAGGCUUCCCCACUGUUGACUCUUUCUACCUUUUAUUAGCGAGGAGUUGACUCUUUCUAUACAUAUGUUAGCACAACCAUCGACGGACCUUUUGAAGCAUUUCUCUUGUAUACGCAACUAUCACAGUCAGAACCAAUGGUGAUGAAAUGCAAGAAAAUAAGCAUGUUAGACCAUAAGCUAGUAAAAUAUCAACCAACAAAAGAUUGACAGGGAAAAAAGUAGUUUUAUUUUAUAUAAGUUCUGGUUUAAAUCAUGCCCGCUAAGCAAUCCAUAUACUUCACGUAUUAGUGUAAAGCUACUAAGAAGCAAUCAGUGCUUGACCUAGUAAAGCGUGUACCACAGUUCUCACAAGCAAAAAAAAAGGUGACCACCAAACAAACAAUGGAAACAUUAAUCGUCUUGAAUGACGAAAUAUAUGGAGAUUGUUGGAUAGUUAUAAUGAUAUGAAGUGGAAAAAGUAAUAAAGAUUUUAUAUGACGGUCAUAUACUUUCGCAUUGUAGACUAUUUCUAUAUUUCUUUGUGAGUUGACUGUUUCCAUACUUACGUUAGCACAAGCAAAGAUUGUCUGAUGAACCAUUUUUCUUGUUUACGCAGCUAUCACUGUCCACCAUCAGCAACGCACUCAUACCAAUGUCUUAUCAUGCAUCUGAUGCUCAAAUGGAUGUCCAAAUUAUCGGUUUUAUCCAAAUUCGAAUCCACUAACCGAUCUCCUCCAUUUUGCGGUUUACUUCCAAAGGUUUUAAAAUUUCAAUCAAUUUAUGUGACCACUAGAAAUCUUGAUUUUGUGGUUUUCUUCCAAUUUGUAAAAUUGAUAUUUAAAACGAUGAUAGUAUGCUUGAACCCAGACACCUAGAAACACAAAAAGAAAACAAAGAGUACACUUUGGUAAUAUAUAUAUGCUGUGCUGCAACUGCAAGCAAAGAGACCAUGCACGCUGAUUUUGUUAGUCGUAUGGUGCGUGUGAAAAUAUUAUUAAAAGCAGGGUAGGUUUGGAAAGUCGAUAUCACUGCCAAGACUGUUUCUUCGAUCAGUUCUCCUGAUAGGUUCAACUUAUAACUUUUUCAACCAUUAACACGUACACGUUGCCACAUGAGCAUGCGGCAGGCUAUAUAACCUCUCCAUCCCCAUGGCGAAGGCAUCAACAAGACAGACACAAACACCACAAGCUAAGAAGCUCCAUAGCUGAAUUCAGAGACUGCAAACACGUACAAAAAGCGUGUGCAAAACCAAAUGGCUGCCUCCAGCUACUUCAUUCUCGUUUCUUUUGUAGCAUUUGUCAUUUCACAGGCCACUGCCUCUGACCCUAGCCCCCUCCAAGACUUUUGUGUUGCCGACAAACAUUCUCCAGGUAUGCAUACUCUCGCUUUAACUCAAGCUGUUUUCUUAUACUAAAUCUCUAAUCAAAUAAGAAUCAUUUGUUCAAACAAACAUCUACAUACAACAAGCAUUUCUAGGUAUGGCCUAAUGACAUGUUCUUCAUCUAACUAUUUGCCUUUGUCUAUGCAUACAGUGAAGGUGAAUGGAUUUGUUUGCAAGGACCCAAUGGCUGUGAACGCAGAUGACUUCUUCAAGGCAGCAAAACUUGACCAGCCUAGAGACACCAUGAAGAGCAAGGUCGGAUCUAACGUUACUUUGAUCAAUGUCAUGCAGUUGCCUGGACUCAACACCCUUGGCAUCUCGAUGGCUCGCAUUGACUAUGCACCAUUAGGUCAGAAUCCUCCACACACACAUCCUCGUGCCACAGAGAUUCUCACCGUGCUUGAGGGUACACUCUAUGUUGGAUUUGUCACCUCCAACACAGACAACGGUAACAAGCUAUUCACCAAGGUUCUCAACAAGGGUGACGUGUUUGUGUUCCCCCAAGGGCUCAUACACUUCCAAUUCAACCCAGUCCAUGACAAGCCAGCUGUCGCGAUCGCUGCACUAAGCAGCCAGAACCCUGGGGCUAUUACUAUUGCCAACGCGGUCUUUGGAUCAAAACCGCCCAUCUCAGAUGAUGUCUUGGCCAAGGCUUUCCAGGUGCAAAAGGGAACAAUUGAUUGGCUCCAAGCUCAGUUUUGGGAGAACAACCACAACUAAGUAAAUUGGGAGUCACUUCAUUGUAUGAAGAUAGGUUUAUAUAUGUAUUUUGCAUUACUCCCGUGUGUAUUCAAUUAUGACAUGCUAAGACAAUAUGGUAGAAUAAUUAAAUGGGAAGUGUAUGUAACCAAUCACUAUUUUUGUGUUUCUCCUACAAGCUAUAUCACCAUGUUCUAGUUGAAUAUUUGAACUGAAGUACGUGAGGAUCCUACAUAAUUUAUUGGAUAUUGUUUGUAUAUGAUAUGCCGUUACAUAUAUCAACAAUAUUUCUUGACAUUAAUUUGGAGAUGAAUAUUGCAUGGAGCCUUUCCAAAUUACUAGGCUAAACUGAACUAUCAACCGGUAGAUCGGCUAAGACUAAAUUAAUCGACCCAGUAGGCCUUGGACUCCAGUCUCCUUGGAGCCAACGACCAGUGUGUUCCACUAGCUAGAUUCAUAUAGUAACGGAGAUCAAGUACCAUACGUGGCCACAUCCAAUUCCAACAAUGUAAUGACUAGUAAAAUUCACUUUACAAAUUCAACACAAAAGUUCACACACAUGAGAAGCAAAUUGGGAGCUAGCGAUUAGGAGCUUGAGAUAAGUUUGUAAUCACGAGGCAACAUUCAGGAAAUUUCACUUCAGAUAUGGGAGCUAGCAAGAUUGCACUAAUGCAUUGCAGUAACUAGAUGGUAGCUACGACCAACAUUCAGGAAAUUUCACUGUCCGACAAAUCGAGAUGGAUGAACAUGCAGUAACCGGGUAGCUAACAAAUUACCUCCUGAAAGAAGUCUUACAUUUAGAAACUGGUACCUUGUUGUCUAUUGAACAAAUUAAUAAUUCAGAAUAUUUGUUGUGUCCGAACUGAGAGUAAAAGGAGCUAGUGCUUCGAUGGGAAGACUGAAAGUGUCAUGGAAAGGAUGAACUGCGCCUUCCUUUCAGAAGAAAGAAAGAACAGAACAGAACAUAAAUAUUCAUCGAAAAUAUGGUGUCCUUUAAUUAGUAUUCCCUCCGUCCCAAAUUACAAGUCGCUUGACUUUUUAUUGCAACCAUUUUGGUAUGUAUCCAGAUAUAAUAAUAUGUCCAAAAAAAGUCAAAGCGACGUCGCCUUUAGUAUGCUUUUAGCAACAGAGAAAGACAAAUGAAAGUUCAUAUCCUUGUUCAGAAGAUAAUUUAUCACUGAUGUUGAUGCAAACUUGCUGACAUCCUCAAAAGCAACAAACAAUCCCAUGAAAAUUAAAAUUGUUUUGCAGUUCCAACAAUGGGGCUGCUGCAGUGCUAGCUGCUGACUGGCGGGCUACCUAUUGGCCCUCUAGUGCUGAAUGGCAAGUUGCCUGCUGGUCCCUUUUGAUUCUGUUCCAUCAUCAACAAGGUAGACCGGAAGCUAACCAUGAUUUCGCCCGGCUUUCCUCUGCACAGCCGCAUGGAGAGUUGGAGAUUGGCUGCUGCAACCUCUCUCUUGCAUAAGCGAUGCCCUCAAUGACAUGUGACAUUCUUGGGCGAGAAGUUGAUCAAUAGACUAUAUAUGAGUCCUUGCGAACCCUAGGCAACGCCAGCGCCUUUAUCAAGGCCCGCCAACAGAGUAGAUCCCUCUUUGCUAUCUCAAUGAUGCUGCUCAGAUAUUUGCUAGCUUCCUUGUCAAGCAAUUCUGUAAUACCUGAUUUUAAGGACAAAAUCAUAUAUACACUAUAUAUGAGUCUUAAAGGUCAAAUCUCACAUAUAGCUAUAAAUAAGAGUAAUAUCAAUAGACAAUGCAUAAAUCAUAUAACGUACUUAGUAAAUCAGUGAUAACCUUAGGCAGCAAAAACAACGGAAGAUAAAUCCAGACUUCGGGUAUCAACUCAUGAUCACAAGCCUAAAGCUUCUCCUGAGGUGUGGGGGAAAUAGCAAGAGUGAGUCCCUGUCGAACUCCACAAAUAUAGCAAUAAGGUAGUAGCAGAUCCCACAAACUCAUGAUCAAUGUGAUAUAAAUAAUGUAGAGCAUAAAACAAUAAACAUUGAGCAUAAUAACAUAAUAAGAAUCAUCAUCUUUAAUGUAAGAGUCCCCAAGGCCGCUCAUGACCGUGAGCAUAGCUAGUAUACUAGUUUAUUAAACACUCUGCAGAGGUUGUACAUCUUUAUCCAUGAGUAAUGAUUUACCCUUUCACCCGAGGUCGCGAGUCUCUUAACCCCCUUCCUAGGGUGGUCGGCAGGAUUCACUAUGAAACCUUUUAAAAGUUCAUCUGACAAGUUAGGGCCGCAUGUUCCCAAUCAGUGCGCACAUAUAGAACCACCUUCCAAAUGGCACAAUGAUGUGCAGCCUAUACACAUAAGGACAGAGGCCGCACUAUACCCAAAAUGCAAGCCCCUCGAGUGCCCUUACGAGUAACCUCUAAGACUAUCUCCAACAAAGAGAACCUAAAAUGGAGACCUAUUCUUUGAUUUAGGUCACGCACAGUAUAUAGAUAGCAAACCCAAAACAUUCCUUCUCCAACAGCUAUCGCAAAAGCAGAGACCCAAAACUACCGUGCCGCCGCUCCGACUGCUUGCCACGGGCAUGCCGUCCUGCUCCCGCCACUCCCUGCCAUGGAUCCGCCUUGCCAUGCUGGCCGCGCCCCGCUCCUGCCAUGGACCCACCCAACACUAGGCUGGAGUUCUUGUUUCCCUUGGACAGAGAAGCUCCGCCGCUGCUGCCUCGGUCGAGCGCAUGGGAGCCCUGCCGACCCUGCCCCUGCAGCUGCUCGCAGGCUUACUCCGGCGGCCGGUGCGCUGCGCCGGGAGCCCCACCAACGAUGGUGGCAGCGGAGCCAAAGGAGCUGUCCACGACCAAGCGGAGCCACCGCAUCGCCCCGCACUGUCGGCUCUUCGUCCACGGCCUCUCGCCGCACGCCGACGGCGCCAUGCUCGCGGAGGCCUUCUCCUGCUUCGAGCCCGUUGCGGACCGUCGUCUAUUUCGCGUCUGGCGGAGAUGGAGGUGUGGUGCGCAUCCCAGCGGAAGGGGAUGAGGAUUGGGAGAGAGAAGACAGCCACCGGACUCCAUUUGGGUCGAGGAGAGAGAAGACAGGGAGAGAACGCAUAUUUGGGUUGCCUCUUCCCUUCUACCCAAAAUAGGUGUUCCCUUUGGCUAUUCUGUUGGAAGCGUUUUUUUUUCACGGUACAGGACCCAAAAUAGGUUUGGGUAAUGGUUUGCCUAGCUUGUUGGAGUCAGUCUAACAAGUUAGAAAAGGUCUUCCUACUAAGCUAAAGCCAGAGCCAUAAUAGACAAAUCCUCAAGUUGCUAAAAAGUCAUUUUUAUCGUUUGUUGCUUAAACAUUAAUUAAGUCACAAGGUCAUGGUCACAGAAUGAAAACCCAAAUGCUAUACUUGCCUUGAUCAUAUUUCUCUGGUCCUGCUUGUAGUAGCACUCUUGAUCAUCCAUGAACUGCUCACCGUCGAUACUCCAUCAGCAAUCAUCGACACACAAACAAUCAAGACCAAACAUAUACAAAGCAAACAAGGCUAUGAUUAGAAUAGUACACCAACAGUAGAAAAACAAUAAGAAAAGUUGAUAAAAGGAUUCUACACAUCGCUACAAUCACACCGACGUAAGGAUCAUGAAAAUCAGAGUUAAAAUAGAGAAGAUAUGAAUUUUCUAAGAUUUCCUUUAUAAAAGUAAUUAAUUAAAUAAGGUCACAAAAUUAAAAAGUUGCAAAUUGGUGAAAUAAAUUUACUAACAUGUAGUUCUCUUGAAUAUGAAUCUAACAUAAUUUGAAUGGGUCAAAUCGGUGUUAAAACGUAUAUUUAUGAGCUAAAUAAAAUCAGUGGAAAACUUGUAAUAUCCUGAAAACGUAUUUUGAUUUAAACUGACGGGAAUUACGUUUUCAAAAAUAGAAUACGUAUUUUGAGAAUAUGCUUCGACUGCAGGUUCUAUUUGACAAAAAUGCAGGGGCUCUUUAACAAAAGAUCCAGACGAAGGGUUACGGCCUAAUCUGGAGCGUUGGAUCUAAAACCUAGGGCUGAGAUUAGAUUAGAGAGAGUGGGGGUGGCGGCUGCCGGCCGGAACAAUGCCACUGCAGUGGUGCUGUGGCCAGAAUCGGUCCGUCCUCGUCGGAGUUUUGCAAUCCAUCGACUUCGGACACCAUAACUCACAGGGAGCAAGAGGAGCUUGUUGUGAACUCACCAGAGGCAAAAGUGGGGGCAAGGAUGACCCGAGGAUGUUCGGCAUCGGGAUUUGGGGAUGACUACUCCCUGCACGAGUUCAACAUCCAUUGGAGACUAAACCAGGACGAGAGAGAGAUGGAGAAGAGGCUCGGCAUCUCCGUAGGAGCGAGGCGAAGCUCAGCAAAGGGUUCUCGAUGACCUUGGGACAACGCAGGGCUUUGACAGUGGUGGCGACGGCCUUCUUGCUUCUCCGAUGAGAUCCAAAUGUGCGUCAGGAGAGCGGCUAAGUCGACCCAUGUGUCUCGUAGAUCGAAAAGGGAGUCGCGGAUGAUUGCCAAAAGCUAUAUAAAGGUCGGUUGGGCAUGUUGGCAAACGAUCCCGUGGAAAACGGGACUUGGCUUCCGCCUUGGUGGAGUCCUGCUAGGGCUCAAGGUGGAAGAAGAGAGGGGCACUGAUGCGUAGGCCCGAUUGGUCAGUGGGAGGGGAGAGAGAGACGCACUAGGCCGGCUGCUGAUGAAGCUGGGCCAAGCUGCUGCUCGGUGCGGGCUCUCCUACUGGGUUGUGGUCUUGCUGGGCAGGCUAUGCGUGGGAGAAUGGGACCCGACCCAAGAGCAAAGAGGGGGGGGUUGGGCCACUCGGGCCAAAACAGGGAGGGAGAAGGUUUCUCCUUUUAUUUUCUCUUCCAAAUUUUCUAAGCCAUUUGAAAACCAUUUGAAAUUCAAUUUGAAUUCAUUUUGAAUUUUAGUUUAAAAACACUCAUCACAAUAAAUAAAAUGUUGUGGCAUGCAUGCUCAAACAUGUUGCUAAUCUCCUAUGGUAAGUUUUAAUUUAAUAAAAAAUAUUAUUAUUAUUUUGUUUUAUGAGCACAAAAAUACAAAAUUAAAUCAAUUUUCCUCUAUUUUCAAAGGAGCAAAAUUUAGGGUGUUACAAAUUCCGCGAAGCGUGCAUUUUGAAGUUGUUCCCCGUCCAUCACCUCGAGAAGUGCAACUCUAGUUGAAUGCUUGAGGGUUGGUGGAGAGCUCUUGGUCGUUGUAACACCCACAUUAAUAGUCAAGCUUGAGAAGGCUUGCUUAGCACAUGAAGCAAUCACUAAAAGACACGCCUUAAUAAGGACGUAGGUUGCGGACAAGAAACUAAACAUCAAUGAUGUUUUAAUAAGAUCAACUCUAAGACCCUCUUUUUAAAACCUCAUCAUGUGUUCUCGAACAUUUUCCUAUUAACGUAGUUCCACCUAACUCUCUUAAUCCCUACUUUGAAUACAAAAUAUUUUGUUGUUUCAGAAAACUACCAUAAUUUCAUAAAAUGCUUUGAUUUUCAAAACUAGAGAUGUUAGAUGUAAAAAAUUUUGUAUUUUGUAUUUUUUUUUAAAAUAAAAUAUUGCUAAAACUAUAGUCUUUUCUAACCUCUCUUACUUUAUAAAACUAAGGUUUCUUGUUUCACCAGUACUACAAUUGUUCAAAAUCACAUCGGAAUAUAAAGCCCUACGACAACCUUGAGAUCUACGUGCAGAUUGGUGGCGUACUACUCUCUCCACCUAAGAAAACAAUUCUAGGUUAAACUAAAUUAAACUCUUUUAAGUUUUUGUAUCUCUAAAUCAAUUUAUUAUUAAAAUAUAUUACAUAACUAAUCUAAUAAUACUUAAUAUGAUAUUUAGAGCUCCAAAUAUAUUUUUACAAAAAUAUAUUUCAUAACUUCUAGUAUCAUUUUUGCUCCCUCCUUGAGGCAUUUUAAAGGUCAUAAUUCUUUCCCUCCCUCCUUCAUUGUUUCCAACUAAGAACUUGAAUGGACCGCGGAAACCAACAAAUGAUGCUCCAUCUCUUUUCUUCUACAACUAAAAAUUACGAGACAGAUAUCAUCUGCCCUGCUGCCUUCGCUUCACCCCCAAGUAAGCUUUGCCCAGCCAUGUCUCAUCCAUUCCCCUAGGCUGGUCUGCUCGGCUUUGGAAAAAAAUGAAGGCAUAUUGUCUCUUAGAAGAAACAUAAACCUUUAAAUCCAUGUGAACCUAGCUUUGUCUGAUGCCCCACCCUACCCCUUGACACCGAUGCCACCAAGCCUCCUCCAUGACCGCCCCCGGUGCCUCCUAGCCCUCCCGUUGAUGUUGACGGCCUGCCUCUUCCCCUUCAUGUCAUUGACCUCCACCAUCAUGGUCAAUGACUCUAGCGUUAUCAUCCUGCCCCGCCACUGCCCCCCUGGGACCACCACCCCAUCUCAUUGCCCGCACAUGCAGCUGUGCUAGCUAUCCAGUAGAUGCAGAUGCAGCUCGCCAAGCACGUACUUGUCCUCCUGUCGCUGCAGCUUACCCCACGUGUGCUCAGUCUGCUCACGGCAGGUCGCUUCCUUUGUUAAUAGGAUCAGGGAGGGAGCACUACUACAGAAUUAACUUUAUGUGCCGGUCCCAUCACUGUUGGUUUCUUAAAAAUCGGCAGUGAUAGUGGCUGAUGGCUCAAGUGAUGGGUCCAACCGGCAGCAGUGAUAUAUGUUUUCUUGACUUAGGAUCACGCAAGAACCAACCACAAAAAAUUUAAGCACAAAAAAGAAGUGAAAAACAUGGCAUGUGUGGGCGAGGGACUAAUUACCUGUAGAUAUAAGCCCGUAAGAGAGAACGGGUCACGAUUUUCAUAGGCUUGGCUACUCCUCUGCCUAUUAACUAAGAUAUGCCUCCCAGCGAAAUGCCAACGUCAACACUGCCGGUCCUGCCAAAUGCAUGAUCGAUUCAAAGAAAAAAGUCGCUACCUGAUGCAGCAGGACGUUAACGAAUUGCGGAUAUCAUCUGAAAAAGUCAGGGAGCAGGCAACCAAAUGACUUACCUCACUGUACUGAUAGACAGAAGAUUCACAUGAUUUAACUCAAAAGUAAAAAGUGCACGGUGGCUACCCUUUACCAGUUCGUUCCCACCUUGGUACGGAAGCAUUCCACGGAUUAAUUCAUGUAUGCUAGUUCCAUAUAAAAUGGUGACCAAGUAAACAUUGGAAACAUGAGGAUCGGAGUUGACUCUUUCUAUCCUUAUGUAAGCACAAACGCACGGAUUGACCAUUUGAUCCAUUAUUGUUGUUUACACAACUAUCAUAGUCCACCGUCAGCUAACGUGAUUACUGGUGGCCAGGAAUGUCAUAAUCACCAUUACAAAAUAAAUUAUCUCUCCAUAUCAACAAUUAACAAACCACGUUGUCCAAAAGGACUCAUGGGCCUGUGUUAAAAUUUAGAUAAAUAUAUAUCCUAAUUACUAGGCAUAACCCCAUUUUAUGGUUUACUUCCUAAUAUUCUAGAAGUAAUUUUAAAGGAUAAUUGCAAUGGAUUUUUUAGUGUCAUGCGUGUGAAAAUAUUAAAAGCAAGGUUGUUGGUUUGCAAAAGUUGAUAUGUCAAUAAGAUAAUUGCGUUGUUUACUCUGCAAGUUCCAGCAGCCGGAGACUGUUUCUUCUUUGUAGGUUGAACUUGGACUUCUUCAGUCAUUAGCACGUUCCCGUCGCCACACUUGCCGCUGUGGCAGCCUAUAUAAACACACCAUCCCCAUACCCCAAGCAUCAACAGAGACACACAAAUUGAACAAGAAGCUCUAUAGCUGAGUUCGAAGAGCACAAACAUAAAAGCAAGUGGAAUACUAAUCCAGAUGGCUCCCACCACCUACUUUCUCCUUGUUUCUUUUCUGGCAUUGGUCACUUCUCAGGCCAUUGCUUCUGACCCUAGCCCGCUCCAGGACUUUUGUGUAGCCGACAUACACUCUCCAGGUAUGCAUGCACUCACUUUAAGUCAUGCUAUAUAUUCUUGUAGUAAAUUGAGGAUCGAAUAAUAAUCAUUUGUCACAACAAACAUUCUAAUUAAUGUUUAUGUGUGUCCUAAUGUUUCUGAUCUCUAUAUACCUAUUUUCCUUCGUCUUUGUAUAUGCAGUGAAGGUGAAUGGAUUUGUUUGCAAGGACCCUAUGGCCGUGAACGUGGAUGACUUUUUCAAGGCAGCAAACCUUGACAAGCCUAGGGAUACUAUGAAAAGCAAGGUCGGAUCCAAUGUCACUUUGAUCAAUGUCAUGCAGUUGCCUGGACUCAACACCCUGGGCAUCUCACUGGCUCGCAUUGACUACGCACCAUUAGGUCAGAAUCCGCCACACACCCACCCACGUGCCACAGAGAUUCUCACCGUGCUUGAGGGUACACUCUAUGUUGGAUUUGUCACCUCCAACACAGACAACGGUAACAAGCUAUUCACAAAGGUUCUCAACAAGGGUGACGUGUUUGUGUUCCCCCAAGGGCUCAUACACUUCCAAUUCAACCCAGUCCAUGACAAGCCAGCUGUCGCGAUCGCUGCACUAAGCAGCCAGAACCCUGGGGCUAUUACUAUUGCCAACGCGGUCUUUGGAUCAAAACCACCCAUCUCAGAUGAUGUCUUGGCCAAAGCUUUCCAGGUGCAAAAGGGAACAAUUGAUUGGCUCCAAGCUCAAUUCUGGGAGAACAACCACAACUAAGUAAAUUGAGACUCACUUCAUUGUUCGAAGAUAGGUUUAUACAUGUAUUUUGCAUACUCCCGUGUGUAUUCAAUUACGACAUUCUAAGCUGAUAUGAUAGAAUAAAUGGGAAGUUUAUGUAACCAAUCACUGUUUUUGUGUAUCUGCUACAAGAUAUACCACCAUGUUCUUUUUGAAUAUUUGAAUUGAAGUACGUGAGGAUCCUACAUAAUUUUCUCGAUCACGCAAAAGGUUUACGUGUCUUAUAUUAAAGUAGAGAAAACAGUUUGAUACAAUACGCCUUAGCAGUGCCCUAGAGGUCACAAGAGUUUUAUAUGGAUGCUGAAAACCUCCGUAGUGUACUCAAAGGUAUAUUGUUACAUUGGACACUGAUUAACCCAAAUUGCGGUACUGACUAGGAGGCAUAUGGCCGGAGCGCUGAUCGACAGUGGUGCCGCUUGCGCGGACCCACGUCGUGGUCCAGUGGGAACAACUCACGUAGCGCCUGCAUAUUGUUGGGGUCACCGCUGAAGAUUUAUCUAUACGCCUUCAUGGCUGAUGUGGACGGAAAGGUCAUCCGCUAGUUAGACUCAGAGCUUCACGAGAAGGUGUUCACCUUGCUUGAACGCCGGGAUAUAAGAUAUGUUCUGCGCCGCUAUCUGCUUGCUCCUUUUGAGGAGCAUGGGCGGUGCAAUGUCUGCCAUGGGUCGCAUAAUCGUGAAGCAGUUUCAGGAGUGGCGGCUGCCUCACUUUUGUAACUCACUCGGUAAAUUGGACAUGAUUUAUUGAAUAUUUUUGUAUAUGAUAUGCUGUUACAUAUAUAAACUAUAUUUCUGGAUGGUAAUAUGGAGAUGAAUAUUGCAUGGAGCCGUCGAAAUUACUAAGCUAAACUGAACUAUCAAUCGGUACAUAGGCUAAGAUUAAAUUAAUCGACACAGUAGGUCUUGGAGCCAACGACCAGUGUGUUCCACUAGCUAGAUGCAUAUAGUAACGGAAGUCAAGUGUCAUAUACUCAUAUGUGGUCACAUCCAAUUCUAACAAUGUAAAUACUAGUUUUUUCACUUUACAAAUGCAACACAAAAGUUCACACACAUGAGAAAGCAAUUGGGAGCUUCAGAUAAUCAGUUGGGAUCUUCGGAUAAUGUAAUACUCGAUUUUAAGGACAAAAUUAGAUAUGCACCAUAUGUGAGUUUUAGAAGUCAAAUCUCACAUAUAGCUACAAAUAAUGGGUAAUAUCUAGAGACAAUGCAUAAAUAUAUAACAUACUUAGUAUAAAAGAGAUAACCUUCAGUAUCAAACAGCGGAUAGACAAUCUCCAAACUUCGGGUAUUACUUCUCUCCACAGGAUCCAACUGACUGGUUGAUCACAAGCCUAACAUCUCCUGGAGUGUGGGGGAAAUUGCAAGAGUGAGCACAUAUCGUACUCAACAAGUAUAACCAGGGGUUCAUGAGGCUCAAAUAGCUGACACUGGUUUGACUGCAUUUAGCUUUUAUAUGUAGAUAACAUAUUUAAUCAUUGGAUAGCAAAUAUCAAGGUAGCAUAUUAAAUCCCAUAACCACAUGAUCAAUUGUAUACAAGAAUUAUGAAUAAUACAUAUAAACAACAUAAUAAACCAUCAUUAUCAUUAUUAAUCAUGUUCAUCAGUGUCCGUCUAUUCCGUCAGUUUUCCGGGCCGCCCGUAUCCGUGGGCACGGCUAGUAUACCAGAUUUAACACUCUGCAGAGGUUGUACAUCUUUACCCAUGAGUCAUGAUUUACCCUUUCGCCCGAGGUGAUCAGCCUCUUAGCUCACUUCCAAGGAAAGUCGGCAGGGUUCACUAUGAAGUCUUUCAAAGGUUCGUCUAACAAGUUAGGGCCGCAAGGUUUCCUUUGCGUGCAGAUAUAGAUACCCCCUUCCGAAUGGCACAAUGACGCGCAGCCUAUACACAUAAGGACAGGGGCUCGCACUAUACCCAAAACGGUUCAGCCCCUCCGCCCUUUCGGGUAACCUCUAACAAGCUAGAAAAGCUUACUCAUACUUGACUAAAGCCAGAGCCAUAUAGCCCUCAUGGUUGUACGAGUUGUCUUAGCUUUUGCCAAGCGAUAAGUCCUUAUGGAGGGUCAAGAUCAAUCCAGCAAAAGCCAGAGUUCUUUCCACCCUUUAUAUUCAAGUUGCUAGAAAGCUUAUUUUAUUGUUUAUUGUAUAUCCAAACAUUCAUGUUACAUGAUCAUGGAUUAGAUUCAAGCACUAGCAGGAACUACCAAAUGCAUAUCCAAAAUAGGUAACAAGGAAUCCAGGAUAACAAUCAUCUAUGAUUCUGCUAAGGUCAUCACGGUGGACACAUGCAUAUGAUAAAUAUUGUAUUAAUGGUAUAUAGGUAACAAGGAUGAUCCCAAGUUAUACUUGCCUUGAUCAAAGCUCUCCUGAGCCUGCUGCUGGUCUUCAAAAGAUUGACCUCGAUCACCAACGUAUCGCUCACUGUCUAUACCCGAUCAUCAAUCAACAACGCGCAUUCCAAUGGACAAUCAUACACGAAGCAAACAAGCUAUAAUUAGAACAAUACACCAAAAAGUGGUAAAACAAAUAUAAAAGUUUAUGAAAAUAUUCUACGCAGCGCUACGAUCACAGAAACGUAAUGUUCACGAAAAUCGGAAUUGAAACGUAGAAGUUAUGAAUUUUCCAAGUUUUCCUAUAGAGAAAUAAUUAACUAAAUGCUACUGCAGAAUUAAAAAGUUUCAAAACAGCAAACUAAUACUUCUAACGUGUAGAGCUCGUGAAUAAGAAUCUAACGAAAUUUGAAUGGACAAAAACGGAGCUAAAAAGAGCAUUUUAUGAGCAUUAUAAAAUCAGUGGCAAACUUGUAAAUAUCAGAAAAUGUAUUUUGAAUCAACCGACAGACUUUACGUUUUCAAAAACAGAAUACGCCUUUCGUGAAUGUGCCUUGGACUGCGGGUUCUAAUACGAGAUUCUAGAGGGUCUCUUUAAGAAAACGGCCGGGCGAAGGGGUAUCCUUCUUUUUCGGCCGUAGGAUCGCGAUGGAACGGUGCAGAUCAGAUCUGGGGAGAGAGGGAGGGAGCUCCGGCCAGCUACAGUGGCCAGCGCGGUGGCGCCAUUGCCGGAGGGCAGAACUCCUCGCCGGAGUUCGUCGUUUUCGCGAUUCAGUGCAUGAUUCAACAAACGAAAAGAAUGGAAAGGCGUAGAAGCUUGCUGCGAACUCACCGAGACCAAAAUCAAGGCUCGGGAAAAGCUUGAAGGCGUCCGACGGCUUGAGAUGGCGGACCGGGCACUCCUGCAAGGUACGGCAUCGAUGAGGGAGCUGUAGGGCGCGAUAGAGAUUAAAAGGGGAGGCUCAGAACCCUUGUAGGAGCAAUACGAAGCUCGGCGUCACGAUUUAGGCGGCUCUAGGGCAGCACCGAGGAAGAACGAUGGUGGCGGCAAUCUUUGGCUUGCGGCGAGAUCCAACCAGCGGCGAUAGAAGUUAUCUAGGGAUUCCCCAAUGUUGUGGAUGGAAAGUGGAGUGCGCGGGGAGACCACAAAACUUUAUAGGGCUUGAUUUGGGAAUCCUAGCACCAAAUCCCGGAUUUACAGGAUGGGUUUCCAUCUCGGUGAGAGAAGGAGAGACCGUCUCGGCCACGACCUGAGGAAGAAGAAAGGUAAGUCGCAGACGUGUGGGCUCCAGAUGGCAGCGAGAGAAAGAAAGGGAGAAAGGGGCGGGGCGCGCUGCUGGGCCGGAGAAAGAAGUGGGCCGGGGCGGUUAGCAGGGUCGCGGGGGAGGAACGGGGGCUGGGCCGAUGGGGAGUUGGGCUGGGCGCUGGAUGGGGUCUUUUCCCCUUUCUUUUUUUUCUAUUUUAAUUUUCAAAGCCUUUUCCAAAUAGAAUUUUUAGAGCAACCAAAAUCCACCCCAAAGCAAUCAACACAAUAAUAAGAUAUGCUUCAGCAUGUAUGCAUAAACAAGUUUCUAACUCUAUGUUGAAUUUUAAAUUUCAAUAAAAUUUAUUUCUUCACUAAUUUAAAUGCUCACAGAAAUAUUUGAAUAAAUCAAUUUAAAUCUAUUAAUUUGAAAGCAAAUUUUGGGUGUUACAAACUCUACCCCCUUAAAAGAAUCUCGUCCUCGAGAAUGAAUAGUACUUACUCAAACAAUUGUGGAUAUGAUUUCCUCAGAUCAUCUUCUCUCUCCCAAGUUGCCUGUGCUUCUAAAUACCGAUUCCAUUGUACUUUGCACAUUCUAAUGAUCCAACUCCUGGUAACUCUCUCUUUAUUUGUCUCUUAAGUUCUUCUAAUGUAACACCCAAAAAUUCUAUUUCUUUUAAAUAGAUGAAAUGAAUUUAAAUGAAUUUAUUUUGUGAGCAUUUUCAAUGUAGGAAAAUAAAUAAAUUUGGAGAAAUUAAAAUUUAAUAUAAGCCUAGAGAAAACUUUAUGUUGCAUUCAUGCUGGGGCAUUCUUUUAUGUGAUGAGUGUUUUGAAAAUCAAAUUGAUUAAAAAUCCAUUUGGGAAAUGCAUUGAAAAUUUGUUUGAGAAAAAGAAAAGGAAAAGGAAUUUCUUUCUCCCCCUUUCUCUCCAUUUCGGCCUCUCGGCCCAAAACCCGCCCCGCGCGCGCCCUCUCCUUCCUGGGCCGCGGCCCAGCCGCCCCCCUCUGCCUUCCCCUCUCUCUCCCCGCUGACAGGCCGGGCCCGCCUGUCAGCUCCUCCUUCCCCAAACCAACGCCCCGCUCCUUCCUCUCUCUCUCGGUUUGGAAACCGCAAGGCCGAAGCCCGCGCCCACGAUCUUCCCCUCUUCCCCCACGUUCGGCUUGAAAAGGAUAGCGCCCGCGCCGAGCUUGAACCGCACCCCGCGCCCCAUUCGUUUCCCUGCUCACCUUCUCGCCUGGGAGCACCGAGCGCCGCCGAGUUCGCCGCCGCGGUGGAAGAUUCGAUUGGCCAAGUUUUCUUCCCCGUAAUCCCCUUGCCGAGCUCCUUUUUAGUCCCGCGAAGUCGCCUAGAUUCUUCUUCUUAUUUUUCCCGCCUCGUUUUUCUCUCUAACUGCCGCUGUGUGUGCUCAGGAGAAUCCUCGCCGCCGUUUCGCGUGGUCAGCCGAAGUCGAUCCGUCCUAGUCCUUGUUCCCGGCGUCUUCGGGUUCGCGGUGAGCUCCUCUGGCCUCCCGUGCUCUUGGAUCGAAGUUUUGUCCACCUAAGGACGUUUUCUCCUUCUUCGGCGAUCUCCCGGCCAUGGCGCCGUCGCGGAGGCCUUGCUCCGGCCGGCUGGCCGGCGAGCCCUUCCCUCUCUCCCCCCCAGAUUAAAUCCGAGCCGUAGAUCUCUAAUCUGACGGCCCAGUGAGCCCCGUACCCCUUCGCGGGUCAGUUUUGCUAAAGAGUCCCCCUGGGAUUUAGUAUUUGAGCCGCAGUCCUUAGCGCAAUUCGUAAACUACGCUUUGUCUUUUGGAAAGCGUAUUUUCCGUCGGUUAGGUCAAAAUACGCUUUCGGGAAAUUACAGAAUUGCCACUGAACUUGUUUUGGCCAUAAAAUAUUCGUUAUAGCUCCGAAUUGACCCGUUCAAAUUGCGUUAGGUUCGUAAUUAAAUUCUCUACAUGAUAGUACCACUGUUUCUGUAGUUUAGAACUUUUUAUUUUCAGGGUUAGGUUUAAUUAAUUAAUUGCCUAUAGGAAAUCGCCGAUAAGUCGUAACUUGGUCGUUUUAGCUCCGAAUUUCGUGAUCUUCGUAUCUAUGUGAUCGUAGCGAAACGUUGGUUCUGUUUUUAAAUAUUUUAUUUCAUUUUUGAUCUGUUGGUGUACUGUUCUAAUUAAAUGAUUGUUUGCUUGUAUGAAUGAACCUGGAUGCGUGUUGUUGUGUGGUACCGAUCGAGCGCAGACGGUGACGUGUCCGUGGGUGAUCCAUUUCACUUCGAGGAGCAGCAGGACCAGCAGCAGUUCCCCUUCACCAAAGGCAAGUAUAACAUGGGUUUCCCUUGUACACCUAUUCACUUAAUUAAUUACGCAUUUGCAUGUGUCUAAUUUUGAUAACCCUAAGGACAUCCUAGCUACCAGACUAAACACUUAUGACACCUAUGGGAAGAAUGCAUGUGGGUAGCUUUGCUAGUGCUCUAAUUAAUUGAGACUUUAUUAUCGCUCUGACUUUAAUAAAUAUGAUGAUAAAUAUUGGGAAAAAGGGCUAUGGUGCAAUUGACUUCGGUUGGGUUGACCUAGACCCUCCGUAAGGACUUCUCUGUAAGCGACAAUCCGGGACUUACAGUGCAACCGUGAUGGUUAUAUGUCUCUAACUUUAGCUCAGUAAUAGGAUCUCAUCUAGCUGGUUAGAGGUUACCCGAAAGGACGCAAGAGGGGCUUGCCACUUUGGGUAUAGAACUGCUUCUGUUCCUAUGUGUAUAGUCGUGAUGGAAAUGUACCAUAAGAAAGGGGGUUCUGUAUAUCUGCCUGCCGAGGAAACCUCGCGGCCCUAACUGGUUAGACGUGGCCUAUGGAAGGCUUCAUAGUGUUCCCUGCCCGCUCACCUUGGCAGUGUUAGUGGGUCUUGCAAACCCCGGGCAUAUGGGUAACACGACUUACGGGAAAAGUGCACACCUCUGCGCAGAGUUUGAUCAAAUUGGUAUACUAGCCGUGCUCUCGGACAUGAGCGGCCUUGGACCCUUACGGAAUAGUUGGGUGUGGAUGGUUAUGGGAAAUAACUAAUGAAACGCUGACGCAUUGAUCGUGAUGAUUAAUGUGGUUUAACCGUGAUGGUGAUGGUGUUAGCCGUGAAGGUUAACGGUGUUAUUAUCAUGUACUCAUUUGGGCUAAUUGGGAGCUUAAGCAUAAUUGAUGAUUAAAUAGGAUUAAAACAUUGAUCAAUUAAAAUGCUAACUGCAGUAGCCAGUGUCUGACCUUUUUGAGCCGCAUAAAUUCCUAUGUUAUGCUUGCGGAGUACGAGAUGUACUCACGCUUGUCUUUUUAUUUCUUUUGGACAAAAAUCCCGGAUGGGUAACAGAUGACAGCUAUUACGAGGAAUUUCCGGAGGACUUCUAGGUUGGCGAUCCCCCAGUCGGUCGUCCCUGUGUUGCAGUUAUCUUACCAUAGCUAGUUAUGAGUUUAUUUUCCGUUUGUCGCAGACUUUGAUAUAUUUGUGUUGUAAUAACGUUUUGUAAGACACUUGUGAUGAUACAUUUGUAAUUUGUCGACUUGUGUGUGCGACUAUUCCUGGGGCGCACAUGCGAUUAUUGUACUCAAAUUUAUCCUUAAAUUUGGGUGUGACAAAUUGGUAUCAAAGCAAGGCUGACUGUAGGACGCAAACCUUGGUAGAAACAGUCGAUUUUAGGGUUCUUAUUUUCGCUUUAUUUAUUUCACUGCUCACUUUACUUUCUUGUUAUUUUAUUAAAAGUUUAUAUUCUUACCCAAUGUUCUAUUUAUGUAAACAUAUUGAUUCUAAUUCUUAAAACAAAAUUUAUAGAUGCCUCGUCGCAGCGCAGCCGCGUAUCGCGCCCUCUUCGUCGCCGCCCGUGCUCCACCAGUUGCACCAGCACCAGCUCCAGUACCUGCACCUGUGCCAGCACCAGUACCCGUACCAGAGCCCGAGGUCGUCGCCUCUGGUGGCGGCGAGGAGGAGGAGCCUAUGGACACGGGGUCCCCUACGCCUACACCUUCAGCUCCUACACCAGUGGCGGUACCGAUUCCGCAGGCUGCCGCUCCAGUACCACCUGCACCUGCACCACCUUCGCCUGCACCCCACGCGUCGACGGGUUCAGCACCGACGCCUCAGUACCCUCAGGUUGUUCCGGAGAUGGGAUGGACCUCGAGGAACAAGUUCAUGGAGGCGGACGAGGACGCUCGCUACCACACUCUGCUCACGGGUGUGUUGGCGAGCUAUUACCCGGAGUUUGCCACCACCGUCCGCUACCUUUGCUCGGAGCACAAGCACCCGUUGGAGAACACCUACUGGAAGGCCGAGGUGAUCAUCACAGCUCGGAACAACGUCGACAACUCAGACGAGGUGGAGUCCAUCCACGAGAGCAGGGUUAGACGUGCUUCCGCCUACGAGAGCAUGGAGGAUGCAGCUUAGGCCGCGUACUUUCACUACCAUGGCCGCCGUUUUGAGGCCAUGCAGGAGGACAGGUACCGGUUCCUUCCCCGCAACGACCCAGAUGGAAAGACAUGGCAUGUCCUGGCACCUCCUGCCGGCGACCCUACCCUGGAUACGACUGUGAGACACGUCAGUGCCAUUCAAGAGAUGAAUGGGGCACUGAGACAGGAGCUGCGUGUUGCGCAGCAGGCGGAGAAGCGCCUCCAGCGUCAGGUGGAUGAGCUGCGUGGUCAGCUUGGACAGCCACCCAUUUACAAGAAGAAGCCCCGCAAGUUCGUUCUCCAAGAUAGAGCUCCUUAGAUUUCCCAGUACUUUCUAGAUUGACGCUAGCACGAGUAUUUCGGUAAUGUGUGGCAUGUGAACUUUAGUGAGUUGCUGUUUGUGUUGAUGAACAUUUAUGAUUUGGAGUUUUGUUUGAUUGUGGAAACAUGUGGGUCUGUCCGCAUGUUUCUAAACCUUAAUUCUAGAAGUAAAUGUUGUUUAAAUUCGAGGUUGGGUUACUUUAUCUGUCUCAGUCAUGUUGUUUCUGGAGCGGUCUGGGAUUUUUAUUCAGUAUCUCAUUAUCGGUUCAGUCAAAAAUUACGAAAUUUUUAUGGUGAAAACUAGACUGGUAUAUCUUUCAUCUCCAACUGGAAUCACCUCAUUAUCUGUUCGGAUCUAUGAGAUAUGUCCGUUUUAAUCUGCUGUACCUGCGCAGACUGAGAACCAGAGCAGAACCUGAUGAAUCACAAUUUUGAUUAUGUUACUUUUGGAAUCAGUAAAUGUGGUCUGAAUAAAGUUUGUAGAGAAUUUCCUAACCUUUCCAACGAUGUAUACCAUGUUCCUUUUGAGUCUAUAGAUUCUGAGAUAAGCACAGAUUACUGACCUGCUGAGUUUGAAACUUGUCCAGAAAACUGCUAGACUUGUUUUUAUUCAUUAUAAGCGAUGAAUAAUUAUUUUUUUUGGAAGAUCACUAAAAGCCGUGAAUCUUUGUUGGAAGCAGAUGGACGCCGAACGUGCAGCCGCUGGUCGUGGACGUGGCCGUGGCCGUGGUCGUGGCCGUGGACGUGGUGUACCUGAGAAUCCACCACCACCACCGCCGCCGAUGACUAUCGAGCAGCUCAUGGGUAUGCAAGCUAAUCUGAUGCAAGCCAUGAUGAACCGUAUGAACAAUGAACCAGUAGCAGCACCACCGCCGGUUCAAGUCCGUGACAAGCGAGGGGAGUUCUUGAAAGGACGUCCUCCGGUGUUCACCCAUGCCUCUGAUCCACUGGAGGCAGACGACUGGUUAAAAGCAGUCGAGAAGCAGCUGAACAUAGCCUAAUGCAGCGACCUAGAGAAAGUGUUGUACGCAUCAGGCCAGCUGCAAGGACCUGCACAGGAGUGGUGGGAGUCCUAUCAAUAUGGACGCCCGAACAACGCUCCGCCAGUCACCUGGAAGGAGUUUACGGAAGGGUUCAGGUCCCAUCAUAUUCCGGAGGGCCUGAUAGAACUGAAAGCGGAAGAGUUCAGAUCUCUCAAGCAGGGAUCAAUGUCAGUCAGUGAGUAUCGUGACAAGUUUGCUCAACUAUCACGAUAUGCUCCAUAUGAGGUGGCCAGGGACUCUGACAAGCAACGUCUUUUCCUGAAGGGUCUGUAUGAUGGACUGCAGCUGCAGCUGAUGAGCAAUACCUACCCUUGUUUUCAAGAAUUGGUGAACCGCGCUAUUGUCAUCGACAACAAGCGCAAGGAGAUGGAUGCAAAGAAGAGAAAGCUCCAGGGGCAGCAGUCGGGCAGCAACACUCGCCCACGUGCGUACCCUCAGUAGGGAUUCCCUCAGCGCAGUCAAGGACCACAGAAUCAGUGGAACCGUGGUCAGUUUCCUCAGCGUCCCCAGUACUACCAGCAGCACAAUCACCAAAACCAAUAACGUCCCCAGCAGCAGUAUGGCAACCAGAAUCAGCAACGCCCCCAGCAUCAGGUCAGCAAUCAGGCACCACGCCAAGGAGUGCCCAAUAAUGCUCCUGGCAAGAGUGCAGCACCCAGCGGCAAUCCCAAUGCCUGUUACCGCUGCGGAGAGGUGGGACACUAUGCCUACCAGUGCCCCAAGAAGCAGAAUCCACCAGCCCAGCAAAAUCAGAACAACAAUCAGAGGCCUGCUCGACCUCCGUUCUCUGGGAAAGUGAACCAUGUGUCCACUGACACAGCUCAGGAAGCACCUGAGGUUAUGAUGGGUACGUUCAACAUCAACUCCAUCCCCGCUACAGUACUGUUUGAUUCUGGUGCUUCACAUUCUUUUAUCUCCCAAGCUUUUGUUAGAGUGCAUAGCAUCCCACUUUGUGCACUGAAAAAUUCUAUGCUAGUAAAUUCACCGGGAGGCACCAUGCCAGCUAAUUACUGGAGCCCCUCCACUAGUAUAUCUCUAAGGGGGGUAGAUUUCAAGGUGAAACCUAUUGUGCUAAGAACCAUGGGAAUUGACCUCAUACUUGGAAUGGAUUGGAUGAAGCAGCAUAGGGCAGUAAUUCAUUGUCAGGAGAAAUCUGUGGUGGUGACAUCACCAGAAGGGGAUAGAAUAAGUGUGGAUGUGAUAGUGCAGUCUCAGCCGACUGCUACAGUGAAUCAGUUGAGUGGUGGUAAUCAAGAAGACCAAGUGGUGGACGAGUUCCCCGAUGUGUUCCCGGACGAGUUGCCAGGUAUGCCACCAGACCGAGACAUUGAAUUUCUUAUUGAGCUUUUACCUCGAACUGCACCUAUAGCAAAAAGACCAUAUAGAAUGGGGGUAAAUGAAUUAGAGGAACUUAAGAAGCAGCUUAAGGAAAUGCAAGAAAAAGGGUUUAUUCGUCCUAGUUCUUCACCAUGGGGUGCACCCGUAAUCUUUGUUGAUAAGAAAGAUGGCACUAGGAGGAUGUGUGUGGAUUAUCGGUCAUUAAAUGAGGUCACUAUUAAAAACAAGUACCCACUGCCUAGAAUAGAUGACUUAUUUGACCAACUGAAAGGAGCAUGUGUGUUCUCCAAAAUUGACCUCCGAUCUGGCUAUCACCAGUUGAAAAUCCGUGCAACUGACAUACCUAAGACAGCUUUUACCACAAGGUAUGGCUUGUAUGAGUAUACAGUCAUGUCAUUUGGGCUGACCAAUGCACCUGCAUACUUCAUGUAUAUGAUGAACAAGGUGUUCAUGGAGUAUUUGGAUAAGUUCGUGGUAGUAUUCAUUGAUGAUAUAUUAAUCUUCUCCAAAACCAAAGAAGAACAUGCUGAACACUUGAGGCUGGUCUUGCAAAAGCUUAGAGAGAAUAAAUUGUAUGCCAAGAAAAGCAAGUGCGAGUUUUGGUUGGAUGAGGUCUCAUUUUUGGGACAUGUGGUCUCUAACGGUGGAAUAGCCGUACACCCCAGCAAAGUGCGGGAUGUGCUAAAUUGGAAGCCUCCAACUAAUACUAGUGAGAUCCGUAGCUUUCUGGGACUAGCUGGUUAUUAUAGGAGAUUUAUUAAAGGAUUCUCCAAGUUAGCAAAGCCUAUGACAGCCCUACUAGAGAAGAGUGCCAAAUUUAUUUGGUCAGAUAAGUGCCAAGAAAAUUUUGAGGAGCUAAAGAAAAGGUUGACCACAGCCCCAGUGUUGAUCUUACCAGAUCUGAGUAAAACCUUCUCUAUUUAUUGCGAUGCAUCUCGCCUAGGCCUUGGAUGUGUGCUUAUGCAAGAAGGAAGAGUAGUGGCGUACGCAUCCAGGCAGUUGAGAAAACAUGAGCUGAACUAUCCUACUCAUGAUUUGGAGCUAGCUGCCGUGGUUCACGCUCUAAAGAUUUGGAGGCAUUAUCUAAUUGGACACAAGUGUGAUAUUUAUACGGAUCACAAAAGUCUAAAGUAUAUUUUCACACAGUCAGACCUGAACCUAAGGCAACGCCGCUAGCUAGAAUUAAUAAAGGAUUAUGACCUGGAAGUGCAUUACCAUCCCGGGAAGGCAAACGUUGUUGCCGAUGCACUUAGCCGAAAGAGCUAUGCCAAUGGGCUGCAAUUGACCUUCAUUCCCACAGAGUUGCUAGCUGAAAUAGAGCAUCUCAAUUUGGGUUUAGUGAACAACACUGUUGAAUUGGAGUUGGAGCCCACCUUAGAGCAAGAAAUCCGCAAAGGUCAGUUGGAAGAUGAGAAACUAAAGGAAAUUUCAGAGAAUGUAGUGCUUGGAAAAGCACCGGGUUUCAAGUUAGAUGAAAAUGGUACACUAUGGUUUGGGAAGAGAAUAUGUGUGCCAGAAGUGAAAUCCAUCCGAGAUGCAAUCCUGCGUGAAGCACAUGACUCUGCAUAUUCAAUUCACCCCGGAAGCACCAAGAUGUAUCUAGAUCUUAAAGAAAAAUACUGGUGGUAUGGAUUAAAGAGAGAUGUGGCAGAGUAUGUAGCGUUAUGUGAUACUUGUCAGAGGGUGAAAGCCGAGCACCAAAGACCUGUAGGGUUCUUGCAACCAAUGCAAGUGCCUGAAUGGAAAUGGGAAGAAGUAGGUAUGGAUUUCAUCACUGGGUUGCCCCGCACUCAACUUGGGUAUGAUUCAAUUUGGGUAAUAGUGGAUCGACUCACUAAAGUUGCUCACUUUUUGCCCGUUAAGACCAACUAUGAUGGUGCAAAGCUGGCAAAGUUAUAUAUGGAUAGAAUCGUGAGUCUGCACGGAGUUCCGAAGAAGAUCGUGUCUGAUCGGGGUACACAGUUCACAUCUCAGUUUUGGCAUAAAGUACAUGAAUCAUUGGGAACAAAGUUGAACUUUAGUUCCGCGUAUCAUCCCCAAACCGAUGGGCAGACUGAAAGAGUAAAUCAGAUUCUAGAAGACAUGUUGAGAGCAUGUGCGUUACAGUAUGGUACCAGCUGGGACACUAGUUUACCAUAUGCUGAAUUCUCAUAUAAUAAUAGUUACCAGAAAAGUCUCGAUAUGGCACCGUUCGAAGCAUUGUAUGGGCGGAAAUGUAGAACACCUCUGUUUUGGAAUCAGACUGGUGAGAGUCAAGUAUUUGGACCUGAUGUUCUUAGAGAUGCAGAGGAAAAAGUGCGGAAAAUACGGGACAACUUGAGAGUAGCUCAGUCUCGACAAAAGAGUUAUGCGGAAACUAGAAGAAGAGAAUUGGCAUUCGAGAUAGGCGACUAUGUGUAUUUGAAGGUGUCACCUAUGAGAAGUGUCAGGAGGUUUAAUAAGAAGGGAAAAUUGGCACCGAGGUACGUUGGACCGUUCAGAAUUCUUAGGAGACGUGGAGAAGUGGCCUAUCAGUUAGAGUUGCCUGCGAGUAUGUCGGGUAUUCACGAUGUGUUCCAUGUGUCACAACUGAAGAAAUGUUUGCGAGUGCCUGAGGAACAAAUUCCAUUGGAGGAACUCACAGUUGAAGGAGAUCUAACUUAUGAGAAAUAUCCAAUCAAGAUCUUAGAAACAGCAGAAAGAGUCACCCGGAGUCGGGUUAUAAAGAUGUGCAAAGUGCAGUGGCACCGAUAUAAAGAAGAAGAAGCCACUUGGGAAAGAGAAGAUGAGCUGAGACAGUCUUAUCCAUAUCUCUUUGAGUAAGCAUCGUCUCAAUCUCGAGGACAAGAUUAUUUUUAAGGGGGGUAGAAUUGUAACACCCAAAAAUUCUGUUUCUUUUAAAUAGAUGAAAUGAAUUUAAAUGAAUUUAUUUUGUGAGCAUUUUCAAUGUAGGAAAAUAAAUAAAUUUGGAGAAAUUAAAAUUUAAUAUAAGCCUAGAGAAAACUUUAUGUUGCAUUCAUGCUGGGGCAUUCUUUUAUGUGAUGAGUGUUUUGAAAAUCAAAUUGAUUACAAAUCCAUUUGGGAAAUGCAUUGAAAAUUUGUUUGAGAAAAAGAAAAGGAAAAGGAAUUUCUUUCUCCCCCUUUCUCUCCAUUUCGGCCUCUCGGCCCAAAACCCCCCCGCGCGCGCCCUCUCCUUCCUGGGCCGCGGCCCAGCCGCCCCCCUCUCCCUUCCCCUCUCUCUCCCCGCUGACAGGCCGGGCCCGCCUGUCAGCUCCUCCUUCCCCAAACCAACGCCCCGCUCCUUCCUCUCUCUCUCGGUUUGGAAACCGCAAGGCCGAAGCCCGCGCCCACGAUCUUCCCCUCUUCCCCCGCGUUCGGCUUGAAAAGGAUAGCGCCCGCGCCGAGCUUGAACCGCACCCCGCGCCCCAUUCGUUUCCCUGCUCACCUUCUCGCCUGGGAGCACCGAGCGCCACCGAGUUCGCCGCCGCGGUGGAAGAUUCGAUUGGCCAAGUUUUCUUCCCCGUAAUCCCCUUGCCGAGCUCCUUUUUAGUCCCGCGAAGUCGCCUAGAUUCUUCUUCUUAUUUUUCCCACCUCGGUUUUCUCUCUAGCUGCCGCUGUGUGUGCUCAGGAGAAUCCUCGCCGCCGUUUCGCGUGGUCAGCCGAAGUCGAUCCGUCCUAGUCCUUGUUCCUGGCGUCUUCGGGUUCGCGGUGAGCUCCUCUGGCCUCCCGUGCUCUUGGAUCGAAGUUUUGUCCACCAAAGGACGUUUUCUCCUUCUUCGGCGAUCUCCCGGCCAUGGCGCCGCCGCGGAGGCCUUGCUCCGGCCGGCCAGCCGGCGAGCCCUUCCCUCUCUCCCCUCCAGAUUAAAUCCGAGCCGUAGAUCUCUAAUCUGACGGCCCAGUGAGCCCCGUACCCCUUCGCGGGUCAGUUUUGCUAAAGAGUCCCCCUGGGAUUUAGUAUUUGAGCCACAGUCCUUAGCGCAAUUCGUAAACUACGCUUUGUCUUUUUGGAAAGCGUAUUUUCCGUCGGUUAGGUCAAAAUACGCUUUCGGGAAAUUACAGAAUUGCCACUGAACUUGUUUUGGCCAUAAAAUAUUCGUUAUAGCUCCGAAUUGACCCGUUCAAAUUGCGUUAGGUUCGUAAUUAAAUUAUCUACAUGAUAAUACCACUGUUUUUGUAGUUUGCAACUUUUUAUUUUCAGGGUUAGGUUUAAUUAAUUAAUUGCCUAUAGGAAAUCGCCGAUAAGUCGUAACUUGGUCGUUUUAGCUCCGAAUUUCGUGAUCUUCGUAUCUAUGUGAUCGUAGCGAAACGUAGGUUCUGUUUUUAAAUAUUUUAUUUCAUUUUUGAUCUGUUGGUGUACUGUUCUAAUUAAAUGAUUGUUUGCUUGUAUGAAUGAACCUGGAUGCGUGUUGUUGUGUGGUACCGAUCGAGCGCAGACGGUGACGUGUCCGUGGGUGAUCCAUUUCACUUCGAGGAGCAGCAGGACCAGCAGCAGUUCCCCUUCACCGAAGGCAAGUAUAACAUGGGUUUCCCUUGUACACCUAUUCACUUAAUUAAUUACGCAUUUGCAUGUGUCUAAUUUUGAUAACCCUAAGGACAUCCUAGCUACCUGACUAAACACUUAUGACACCUAUGGGAAGAAUGCAUGUGGGUAGCUUUGCUAGUGCUCUAAUUAAUUGAGACUUUAUUAUCACUCUGACUUUAAUAAAUAUGAUGAUAAAUAUUGGGAAAAAGGGCUAUGGUGCAAUUGACUUCGGUCGGGUUGACCUAGACCCUCCGUAAGGACUUCUCUGUAAGCGACAAUCUGGGACUUACAGUGCAACCGUGGUGGUUAUAUGGCUCUAACUUUAGCUCAGUAAUAGGAUCUCAUCUAGCUGGUUAGAGGUUACCCGAAAGGGCGCAAGAGGGGCUUGCCACUUUGGGUAUAGAACUGCUUCUGUUCCUAUGUGUAUAGCCGUGAUGGAAAUGUGCCAUAAGAAAGGGGGGUUCUCUAUAUCUGCCUGCCGAGGAAACCUCGCGGCCCUAACUGGUUAGACGUGGCCUAUGGAAGGCUUCAUAGUGUUCCCUGCCCGCUCACCUUGGCAGUGUUAGUGGGUCUUGCAAACCCCGGGCAUAUGGGUAACACGACUUACGGGAAAAGUGCACACCUCUGCGCAGAGUUUGAUCAAAUUGGUAUACUAGCCGUGCUCUCGAACAUGAGCGGCCUUGGACCCUUACGGAAUAGUCGGGUGUGGAUGGUUAUGGGAAAUAACUAAUGAAACGCUGACGCAUUGAUCGUGAUGAUUAAUGUGGUUUAACCGUGAUGGUGAUGGUGUUAGCCGUGAAGGUUAACGGUGUUAUUAUCAUGUACUCAUUUGGGCUAAUUGGAAGCUUAAGCAUAAUUGAUGAUUAAAUAGAAUUAAAACAUUGACCAAUUAAAAUGCUAACUACAGUAGCCAGUGUCUAACCUUUUUGAGCUGCAUAAAUUCCUAUGUUAUGCUUGCGGAGUACGAGAUGUACUCACGCUUGUCUUUUUAUUUCUUUUGGACAAAAAUCCCGGAUGGGUAACAGAUGACAGCUAUUACGAGGAAUUUCCGGAGGACUUCUAGGUUGGCGAUCCCCCAGUCGGUCGUCCCUGUGUUGGAGUUAUCUUACCAUAGCUAGUUAUGAGUUUAUUUUCCGUUUGUCGCAGACUUUGAUAUAUUUGUGUUGUAAUAACGUUUUGUAAGACACUUGUGAUGAUACAUUUGUAAUUUGUCGACUUGUGUGCGCGACUAUUCCUGGGGCGCACAUGAGAUUAUUGUACUCAAAUUUAUCCUUAAAUUUGGGUGUGACAUCUAACUCAUUUAUCCCCAUUCCGUGAGGCCUUUUAGCUAUAGGUGCAGUAUCAGGUGGUAAUUUGAUAAUAUUUAAUUCAAUGUCUCCGGUCAAGAAGCAUACCUGGCAACUUAUCCGAAAAAAAAUCAUCUGGAAAUUUAUUCACAACUACUACUUUCUCUUCACACUCCAUCUCCGUAGUAUAUUUCUUCAUCCAAUCCAAACCCAAGAUUAUAUCUAUGCUUGGAGUUCUCAUAAGCAUAGGACCGACAGGGAAAUCUACCCCCCUUAAAAUGAGAUUUAUUGGGGGAUACUAGAGACUACUUCUCCUAUCGUUUUUAGAUGCUACACAUCAUAGUCUUUUAAAUUUCUUGUACCAAGUCUCUUAAUCCAAGGUUGGUUUCAACACUAAGUUCCAUCUAUUGGUACCUUUAUCGCCAAUAAGUUGUUUCACUCUCAUCUUGCAUAUGGAACUGAAGCGCCCCUGGUAAACCAGGAACUCAAAUGUGAUACAAUACUAGUCCCAGGAGGCUAGUAACACAUUUAUUACAUCAGAUAAGUUUCAGCGCAGUAGUCUUGGAAAGCGUGGACAAGGAAGGCACGCUAUAAUAAUAAGACACCAAAAUACAACACAGGUCCAAAGGACCCAGAAACAAACGAUAUCGCCAUCGAACAUCUGACGAGUCCCAAUGCCACAGGCUUAGUUGGGUGCAGACACGACCUUACUCGAACGCCACUUCGGGAUCGAAGUCCGGAUCUUCCUCUGUUUAAUAAAGCAAGGGUGAGUACAAAGUACUCAGCAAAUCCAACCUUACCCUACGGAAGGGGAUAACAGUAUAUAUGCAUAUGGAUAAAUCAAGGAUGAGGCUUAGUUUUAUUUGCAUAAAGCUAUCUUUUUACACAUGCAAGGUUUCAUUUCACAAAUACUGUUGUAAAAGACCUCUUUUUCCACAUAUGAUAGUAUUUCUGAAAAUGGGGGUUUGAUCACAAUUUUAAGUGUUGUUGAACCCUUGUUCCCACAACACAAUGGCAGUCAACCAUUUAUUUCCAAAAUCACACUCACUCUCAUAUUUUCACUCAUCCCAUCCCAUCUAGUUGUUGAAACCAAACCAUAACCCGUCCGAGACCGCGGACACGGCUAUCCAGAUAGAUUUACACUCUGCAGAGGUUGUACACUUUUCCCACAAGUAGGAUACCAUAACUUACACCAUCGUGCAAGCACAGAUCCAUCAAAGUCAUUACCCUCCAUAGCUAAGUAAUGGCGCUCACCACGGGAACACUAUGGCCACAUCUCAUGAUACCAUAAUAAUUCACAAAGCUCUUUUCAUAUAUUUCCACAAUUUCACAUACAUCACUUAGUGUCCCGUUGCACACCUGCCUCCAGGUGAUUGCCAUACUAACUAGAGGGAUUUAGACUAAGCCUUUCCCAUGCAAGGCGAGUGGUUGUACGAUAAAUGAGUUAGGCAAGAUGAAUCAUCAACUCAGUCCUUAAUCGAGACAAGGCGGAUAUCUUCACGCUUAACCCCGCAAGGUAUAAGCCACAACACCAGGACAUCCCCAAAAGAGAUCUCAUCCGCCCCAUCUCCAUAGUAAUCACAUCUAUAACUUGUUCAUUAACCCUUUCACAAUACCCACAAUUUAUUUUCACCACUCACACCUUUUACUUUUAAAAUUAUUAUAUUUGAUAAAAUACAACGAUGAGUAUCCAGAAUGAGUAACAAGUCCUAAGCAUACUAAAUAAUAAUAUUUCUGUCAUAGCAUAUUAUUUUGUUCCUAGGUUCGAACAAGAUAAUUACCGGGUAAUAUCAAUUCAAGGAUGGCUAUUCAACAGGUUUUAACUAAGCAGCGAAAAUACUUCGUACAUAUAUCGUACAUGCAAUAUUUAAAACGGCUUCUACGGGUUGUGUUUAAAAAUAGGAUCAAUAUGCAUCAAAGGGGAUCGGUUGGACUUGCCUCCGUCGGCGUCCUCGGCAAACUCCUGCUGACAGUCCGGGUCCUCGGCGUCAAACUCGCGGUACUCGUCUCCAACGUUCUCGUUUUCCGGCUCGUUCACUCCGUCAACUAAAAUACGCGACGAACGACACAGACAAUAGGCACAGAUAAAUAAUCAUAUAAAUUCAAAUGAGCUCCAAAAAUCAUGAAAUUAAUAUGGGAGGUAGAUCAUGAUUUUAGAUGAAUUUAGGAAAAAGAAUUAUUAAAAUCAGAGUUAGCAUGUGGCAUUUGUGAAAUGGCCGGAAUUUAAUCAUGCGAAAAAGGCUAACGAUGAUUAAGGAAUGGAUGCUUCACGUGGGCAUUUGUUUGGCUGGUAGUGCAUGUUGUAUGCAUGCAUGUACUAUUUGGAGUUAAUGCUUGGCCCACACAUGCAUGGUUAGAGACAAAUUAGCAGGGGUCAUUAGAACUCUUCUGUAUGUCAUGGUUCUAUUCGUGGUGUUCUUGGCAGUGAACCGGUACAGACAAAUACAUGGAAAAAUACAGAAAAAUACUACAGAAAGACAGAGAAGAGCAAGGAGAUGCUCAUGAGCUGCUCACCUCGUCUUGCGACGACAGUCGAGCUCGGCUUCUGCGUAUGGCCGUAUACGGUAUACGCGAAGUGAGAGCGAGUGAGCGAGUGAAUGAACGUGUUUCUCGGGUGGUGAGAGUGAGCACCCGAGGCUGGCUUUUUAUAGGCCAAAGCGCUCAGCUGCGUGCCAUUAAAAAUGCUACUGUAGCGCAUGGUCGGUGCCUAAUUUCAUACGAAGGACGAUGUCCCAUUUGCAUGCACGUUGCAUGCAAAUGGACGGUGCCUAAUCACCGUGUCCUUGCAUGCAGGUGCAUGCAAAUGGUCGGUGGCAUGUCCUGCAUGCAUGCAUGAGAUAUAUAUUCGUGUAGGUGCACUGCUAUGUUUUCUCGCAUGUAAGCUUGCUGGUACUUGCUAUUAUUUGUGCGCGAAAAAUAUGGAUGGAGAUACUAUAGAGCUCAAAUUAUUUUAUAGUUUUUGAAAUAUAUUUUGAAAAUAAUUUUUAAUGCGAGUGAUUUUCGAAUGUGAAUUUUUGGAUGUUACAAACCUACCCCCACUUAAAAGGAAUCUCGUCCUCGAGAUUCGGCUGGGUCCUAAAUAGAUGGGGAAACUCUUUUCUCAGAGCAUCUUCUCUUUCCCAUGUUGCUUCUGCUUCAGUGUGUCUACUCCACUGAACACGACAAAUUCGGACUGUUGUCGUUCGAGUUUGCUUGGUGACUGUAUCUAGGAUUUUUAUCGGCACUUCUUGAUAUCUUAGGUCGUCUUGUAAAUCAACUGUGUCUGGCGAUAUUUGCUCCUCUGGUACUCUAAGACAUUUCUUCAAUUGGGAGACAUGAAACACAUUGUGUAUAUCUGACAUUUUUCAGGUAGCCGAAUACGAUAGGCUACAACACCAAUCCUCUGUAAUACUUGAUAUGGUCCAAUAUACCGAGGUGCUAGCUUGCCUCUGACUUGGAACCUUCGAGUUCCUCGAAUAGGAGAGACUUUGACAUACACAAAAUCUCCAACUGCAAAACUUAACUCCCGCCUUCUUUUAUCAGAAUAGCUCUUUUGACGUGAUUGUGCCUCUUUCAAUUUUUCUCUGAUUUCAGCUACACGAUCUUCUGCUUCUUUUAUAAGGGCUGGUCCAAGCAAGGUUCGUUCUCCAACUUCUGACCACAUCAAUGGGGUUCUACAUUUUCUUCCAUACAGGGACUCAAAAGGUGACAUGCCCAAACUAGCUUGGUAACUGUUAUUAUAGGAGAACUGUGCAUAAGUUAGGCUUUUCUCCCAAUCUUUACCAUAUGUGAGCACAUAUGCUCUUAGCAUAUCUUCCAUAAUCUGAUUUACUCUUUCAGUCUGGCCAUCUGUUUGAGGAUGAUAAGCUGAGCUAAAAUCUAGCUUGGUUCCCAUAGCUUCAUGCAAACUUUUCCAGAACUUAGAGGUAAAUUGGGUACCUCGGUCAGAUACAAUCCUACUUGGCACACCAUGCAAUUUGACUAUGUUAUCCACAUAUAACUGGGCUAACUUGUCUCCACUAUAUUUGGUGCGCACAGGUAUGAAGUGAGCAACCUUGGUAAGGCAGUCCACUAUUACCCAUAUUGAAUCAUUUCCUUUCAGAGUUUUGGGUAAUCCAUUCACAAAAUCCAUGCCUAUCUCAUCCCAUUUCCAAACAGGAAUAGGCAAUGGCUGGAGCAAGCCUGCUGGUUUCUGAUGCUCCGCUUUAACCCUUUGGCAAACAUCACAUUGUGCAACAAAUCGUGCCACAUCAGCUUUCAUGCCAUUCCACCAAUAUCUUUCUUUUAGGUCCAUGUACAUCUUGGUGGCACCAGGGUGGAUAGAAUAAGCUGAGUUAUGGGCUUCAUCAAGGAUUAAUUCUUGAAACUUUCCCUCCUUGGGCACACAAAUCCUGUUUUUAUACCACAAUACUCCUUUGUUAUCCACUCUAAAGUAUGGAGCUUUAUUUUCUCCAGUUUGCUCACGAAUCUUCAUCAGAUCCUUAUCCUUAUGUUGCAUCUGUUUGAUUUCUUCCACAAGAGUUGGCUGCACCAUCAGACUGCCAUUUUGAGGUUGACGUACUAUAUGCAUGUUCAACUGUGCUAUCUCUUCUUGUAGGUGAGUGUUCUUAGGCACCAACUGCUGACCAUAUGACCUUCUGCUUAGGGCAUCUGCUACCACGUUGGCCUUUCCUGGGUGGUAAUAAAUCUCAAGGUUGUAGUCCUUGAUUAAUUCCAACCAUCUUCUUUGCCUUAGGUUCAAGUCUGACUGUGUGAAGAUGUACUUCAAACUCUUGUGAUCAGUGUAGAUUUCACACUUGUUUCCAAUGAGGUAGUGUCUCCAAAUCUUGAGAGCAUGCACUAUAGCUGCUAACUCUAAAUCAUGGGUAGGGUAAUUUUGCUCAUGAGGUCUAAGCUGACGAGAUGCAUAAGCAACCACUUUUCCUCCUUGCAUGAGAACACAUCCUAAACCUUGUCUUGAGGCAUCACAGUAUAUGAUGAAAUCUUGGUGAAUGUCUGGCAAGGUUAACACUGGUGCUGUUGUUAGUCUCUUCUUCAACUCUUGGAAACUCUUCUCACAUGAUUCUGUCGAAGUAAAUUUCUUAUCCUUCCUAAGAAGCUCUGUCAUGGGUCUGGCUAUCUUGGAAAAUCCUUCUAUAAACCUUCGAUAAUAUCCAGCUAAUCCAAGAAAACUUCUAACCUCACUCACAUUGGUGGGUUGCUGCCAAUGGGAGACAGCUUCUACUUUCUCAGGGUCAACUGCAACUCCUUCAGCUGUCAAGAUAUGGCCUAGAAAUGCAACCUUCUCAAGCCAAAAUUCACACUUGCUGAAUUUAGCAUACAACUUGUGUCUUCUUAGCUUUUCCAACACUACUCUCAAGUGUUGCCCAUGUUCUUCAGCACUCUUAGAGUAGAUAAGUAUGUCAUCAAUGAAGACUACAACAAACUUAUCUAACUCUUCCAUGAAUACCUUAUUCAUGAGGUUCAUGAAAUAGGCAGGGGCAUUGGUUAAUCCAAAGGACAUCACUGUAAACUCAUAUUGUCCAUAUCUGGUUACAAAGGCUGUCUUGGGAACAUCACUAUUCUUGAUCUUGAGCUGGUGAUAACCUGAUCUCAAAUCAAUCUUAGAGAAAUACUUGGCUCCUUUAAGCUGAUCAAAAAGAUCAUCUAUCCUUGGCAGGGGAUACUUAUUCUUGAUGGUGACUUCAUUUAGGGACCUAUAAUCCACACACAUCCUCAUACCUCCAUCUUUCUUCUUCACAAACAAAACUGGGGCUCCCCAUGGUGAAGAACUAGGUCUAAUAUAGCCUUUCUGCUGCAAUUCUCUUAGCUGCUCUUUCAGUUUAGCUAACUCUGCUGGAGCCAUUCUGUAAGGUCUCUUGGCUAUGGGGGCAGUCCCGGGGAUAAGAUCAAUGUUGAACUCUAUAUCCCUGUCUGGUGGCAUCCCAGGUAGUUCCUCAGGGAAUACAUCAGGGUAUUCUUGCACUAUUGGUAUUUCCUCUAUGGUCCUUUCAUCCAAGUUGAAGACCAUUGGAUUAACUUUAGACCCUCGGGUUUGGCAUUUCACUUUAAUCCCUUCAUGGUUAACUAAUGAUACUUCCUUGGUUGCACAACUAAUAAUUCCAUUGUGUCUGGUUAACCAAUCCAUUCCAAGGAUAACAUCUAUUCCUUUGGACUUGAGCACUACUAAGUCUCCUAAGAAAACUACCCCACUUAGAAUGAUCCUUACAUUUGAACAACCUAGAUGACAUUUGAUGUCAGACCCAGGUGUUCGGGUUAUUAGGGGUAACUUUAGUAGUACUGUGGGUAUUUGAUGCUUCUCAACAAAACUUGAUGAUAUGAAUGAAUGUGAUGCUCCAGAAUCAAAUAAUACUGUUGCAAGUACUGAAUCGACUAAGAACUCACCAAGUACCACUCCUGAAGCAGUCUGAGCAUCUUGAGCAUGAAUAUGGUUGACACGGGCUCUACCAUAGGAUUGUUGAGGUUGCUUCAUCAUCUGGCUAUUAUUGUUGGUGUUGCUAUUGUUGCGAGGGAAACCACGGUUGACUCCAGACACUGCAGGUCUUGGUCCAUUAACAGUGUGGGACUGAGUGGAUACUGCUGGUGGGUUGUUCUUGUAGGGACAGUUGGCGAUGUAGUGUCCAGUCUCAUGGCAAUUAAAGCAAGUUCUGACAUUGUUUGUGACUUGACUAGUGCUGUUCUGUUGAGUCUUGCCAUAAGUUUGAUUCUGAUAGGUUGUCUUGGGCUGAUAUGAUGUCUGCAUUUGGUUAUUGGAGAUACUAGCAGGAGAGCGAAACUGCAUUGGGGCUUGAGUCCGCUGGCUCGGUUGGCUAAAGGUUUUCAGCCUCUGGGAUCUAGCACCAUCUUGAACCUUGCGCUCCAGAAACUUGCGCUUGUUUUCCUUCCUUUCUUCAGUCUUGGCCACAUCAGUCGGAAUGGUCCUGUUCAUCAAGGUGUUGAAGUCUGUAUAGAUCUGUGGGGUCAUGAGGGUUCUGAGCUCACAGGUCAAUCCUUCUAUGAACUUUGUCUGCUUCUUGGCAUCAGUGUUGACCAAUUCUGGGGCAUAGCGAGACAACUCAGUGAAUUGGAAGAUGUAUUCACUCAGGGUUUUAUUUCCUUGCUUCAAGUUGCGAAAUUCAUCAGCUUUCAGCUUCAUGAUCCCAUCUGGAAUGUGGUACCGGCGGAAUUCAUCCACAAAUUCUUCCCAUGUGAUAGUGUUUGCAUUGUCCACAGCUCCACUAUAGGCUUCCCACCAAGAAAGGGCAAUUCCUGUCAGCUGAUGAGAUGCUAGCAGAACUCUAUCCCUUCCAUCACAGUGGAUUGUGUCCAACUUUCUUUCAAUCACCUUAAGCCAAUCAUCUGCUUCCAUGGGGUUGUCAGAUCCAGUAAAGGUGGGUGGCUUAAGCCUCAUGAACUCAGUCAUCUUGUCUUGGACUCCGGCUCCACGGUUGUUCCUAGGGCGGUUCAUGCCUUGAGCCAAGGUCUCCAGAAGGCGAGUCUGAGUUGCCAUGACUUGUGCCAAGUCAAUUACUGGAGGAGGGGGCAAGUCAUCUCCUUCAUUAUGGUUCCUAGUCUGACUCACUUCAUCUUCAUGAAUACCAUCCACAUUUGCAUUGGCUUGACUUCCAUUUGGAUUUUGGCUUUGUCUACUAGCUGCACGACCACUUGGUUGAGAGCGGGUAGCUGGUUUGGGAGGCAUCUGUUGGUUAAGAUGAGAAAGCAUUAGAUAAGGGUUACAUCUAUUGAGUGAUGUUGUUUUUUUGUUAAGGCGUUAUAUUUUAAAAAGGUGCAAGUCUUAAGACUUGCUAUCCCGUAAGGGAACAACAUAGAGCACUCAAUUAUUUAGCACAACCAACAAGCACAAAUAUAUAUUUUGAAUAAGAGGGCGGUUUACAACAUAGUAAUGGAGGAAAUAAGCGUACUACAAUACGGUUCAUCUACUUUGGGGGUUGAACAAAAGUGAAGUAAACUUCACUUCCCUAAGACAUAAGGAGGAACUAGGUGCUACUAUUCUUCAACUUCUUCGGACAGAACGGCUUCAUUCCCUUGGUGUUGAGGAGGAUCACGCUUCCGGCAUUUGUGGUUCUUCUUUUGGACUAAGAGGUGGGUCACUGUCUUCUUUUGGUGCUGGCUGGGUGAGAAGGGGAAAUCCUUCUUCCUUAGUGGACUCCAACUCUAAAGCUUCAUGAGAGGCUUCUGUGGGUGGGAAAGCUGAUGGCCCUUCUAUGUCCAUCUUUCUUUUGGUUUUUAGGGACAUGAUUGGGAUACCUUUUAGGACUAUGGGCUCUUGGUCUUCCACUGCUAACAUCCUUCUUUUGAUCCUGGUGAUAAGGUAGGCAUCCUUCAACUCCUGAGCAUGGUGGUCUUCAGCUGUCUUCAAGACUUUAGCAAUGGCAGUUUCACGACUCUCGGCUGCAGCUGCUUGGGCCUGAGCUUCCGCGAGCUGCACAUGGAGCUUUCUAACUAUGAUCUCGGCUUCCUCCGCACGAUGGAUGCACUUGCUUAACUCUGAGGCCUGCUCAUCAUAUUGCUUAUCUAGAGCAAGUAGGUAUGUGGUCAUGAAUACCACAGUUGGGUCAUCUUCAAGUGAGUAACGUCCUUGCAAGAGCUCCAUGCGGGUUCUCCAAACUGGUCGGUCUUUUUCGUCAGGUGGAAAGAACCUCAUGGGUGUACGUGUGAUGGGCUUCUCGUAGAUCUGGCAUAGGUACCUCAAGAAUUUGCGGGCGACGGCUUGAUAUGUAUCUGCAAACCGAAAUCCGGUCGCAGUCAUGCUCCAAGCUUCAGCUAUAUUAGGGAAGUCCUCACUUUUCCCAAUAUAGACGGUAACUUCACACCGCUCAGUCUCAUGCUCUUCAUAUUCUCUGCCUUCAUAUUCUAUCCUUGAUUCCAAGUUUCUGCAUGGUAGCAUACAAGAGCUUAGGAAAGCCUUCUACACUUAGACAGUGACUGCUGGUCCAAACUCCUUCUGCCAUCUGAGAGACAUAGAUGAGAGUAAAUAUUUUUUUCAAAUAGAGGGAAGAGGGUAAGAACUUUUGUAAAAUACGUUUAUUUAGUAAAAUACUGGUCCAGAAAAGCCUAAGGUCACGUCCUACAGCCAGCUACGGCUCUGAUACCACCUGAAGCGCCCCUGGUAAACCAGGAACUCAAAUGUGAUACAAUACUAGUCCCAGGAGGCUAGUAACACAUUUAUUACAUCAGAUAAGUUUCAGCGCAGUAGUCUUGGAAAGCGUGGACAAGGAAGGCACGCUAUAAUAAUAAGACACCAAAAUACAACACAGGUCCAAAGGACCCAGAAACAAACGAUAUCGCCAUCGAACAUCUGACGAGUCCCAAUGCCACAGGCUUAGUUGGGUGCAGACACGACCUUACUCGAACGCCACUUCGGGAUCGAAGUCCGGAUCUUCCUCUGUUUAAUAAAGCAAGGGUGAGUACAAAGUACUCAGCAAAUCCAACCUUACCCUACGGAAGGGGAUAACAGUAUAUAUGCAUAUGGAUAAAUCAAGGAUGAGGCUUAGUUUUAUUUGCAUAAAGCUAUCUUUUUACACAUGCAAGGUUUCAUUUCACAAAUACUGUUGUAAAAGACCUCUUUUUCCACAUAUGAUAGUAUUUCUGAAAAUGGGGGUUUGAUCACAAUUUUAAGUGUUGUUGAACCCUUGUUCCCACAACACAAUGGCAGUCAACCAUUUAUUUCCAAAAUCACACUCACUCUCAUAUUUUCACUCAUCCCAUCCCAUCUAGUUGUUGAAACCAAACCAUAACCCGUCCGAGACCGCGGACACGGCUAUCCAGAUAGAUUUACACUCUGCAGAGGUUGUACACUUUUCCCACAAGUAGGAUACCAUAACUUACACCGUCGUGCAAGCACAGAUCCAUCAAAGUCAUUACCCUCCAUAGCUAAGUAAUGGCGCUCACCACGGGAACACUAUGGCCACAUCUCAUGAUACCAUAAUAAUUCACAAAGCUCUUUUCAUAUAUUUCCACAAUUUCACAUACAUCACUUAGUGUCCCGUUGCACACCUGCCUCCAGGUGAUUGCCAUACUAACUAGAGGGAUUUAGACUAAGCCUUACCCAUGCAAGGCGAGUGGUUGUACGAUAAAUGAGUUAGGCAAGAUGAAUCAUCAACUCAGUCCUUAAUCGAGACAAGGCGGACAUCCCCAAAAGAGAUCCCAUCCGCCCCAUCUCCAUAGUAAUCACAUCUAUAACUUGUUCAUUAACCCUUUCACAAUACCCACAAUUUAUUUUCACCACUCACACCUUUUACUUUUAAAAUCAUUAUAUUUGAUAAAAUACAACGAUGAGUAUCCAGAAUGAGUAACAAGUCCUAAGCAUACUAAAUAAUAAUAUUUCUGUCAUAGCAUAUUAUUUUGUUCCUAGGUUCGAACAAGAUAAUUACCGGGUAAUAUCAAUUCAAGAAUGGCUAUUCAACAGGUUUUAACUAAGCAGCGAAAAUACUUCGUACAUAUAUCGUACAUGCAAUAUUUAAAACGGCUUCUACGGGUUGUGUUUAAAAAUAGGAUCAAUAUGCAUCAAAGGGGAUCGGUUGGACUUGCCUCCGUCGGCGUCCUCGGCAAACUCCUGCUGACAGUCCGGGUCCUCGGCGUCAAACUCGCGGUACUCGUCUCCAACGUUCUCGUUUUCCGGCUCGUUCACUCCGUCAACUAAAAUACGCGACGAACGACACAGACAAUAGGCACAGAUAAAUAAUCAUAUAAAUUCAAAUGAGCUCCAAAAAUUAUGAAAUUAAUAUGGGAGGUAGAUCAUGAUUUUAGAUGAAUUUAGGAAAAAGAAUUAUUAAAAUCAGAGUUAGCAUGUGGCAUUUGUGAAAUGGCCGGAAUUUAAUCAUGCGAAAAAGGCUAACGAUGAUUAAGGAAUGGAUGCUUCACGUGGGCAUUUGUUUGGCUGGUAGUGCAUGUUGCAUGCAUGCAUGUACUAUUUGGAGUUAAUGCUUGGCCCACACAUGCAUGGUUAGAGACAAAUUAGCAGGGGUCAUUAGAACUCUUCUGUAUGUCAUGGUUCUAUUCGUGGAGUUCUUGACAGUGAACCGGUACAGACAAAUACAUGGAAAAAUACAGAAAAAUACUACAGAAAGACAGAGAAGAGCAAGGAGAUGCUCAUGAGCUGCUCACCUCGUCUUGCGACGACAGUCGAGCUCGGCUUCUGCGUAUGGCCGUAUACGGUAUACGCGAAGUGAGAGCGAGUGAGCGAGUGAGUGAACGUGUUUCUCGGGUGGUGAGAGUGAGCACCCGAGGCUGGCUUUUUAUAGGCCAAAGCGCUCAGCUGCGUGCCAUUAAAAAUGCUACUGUAGCGCAUGGUCGGUGCCUAAUUUCAUACGAAGGACGAUGUCCCAUUUGCAUGCACGUUGCAUGCAAAUGGACGGUGCCUAAUCACCGUGUCCUUGCAUGCAGGUGCAUGCAAAUGGUCGGUGGCAUGUCCUGCAUGCAUGCAUGAGAUAUAUAUUCGUGUAGGUGCACUGCUAUGUUUUCUCGCAUGUAAGCUUGCUGGUACUUGCUAUUAUUUGUGCGCGAAAAAUAUGGAUGGAGAUACUAUAGAGCUCAAAUUAUUUUAUAGUUUUUGAAAUAUAUUUUGAAAAUAAUUUUUAAUGCGAGUGAUUUUCGAAUGUGAAUUUUUGGGAUGUUACAGUAACUUUGUAGACUUUGGUGUCAUCUGAUCCUCAUACACAAUUCUUAAUCCAUGAGUAUCAGUAAUAACAUAAACCUCCAUUUGUAUUAGCACACUCCAAAUGGAAUGAUAUCUUGAAACAAACCAACAUACCAAGCACUUGAUGUCCUUGUAGAUGUUCUUGUCAUUAACCACUUCUUCUCUUGUAACUUCUUUAUUUAAGCUACCCCCUUCAAAGGGUCAACUAGGGGACACAAGAAAGGUAGCUUGCACUUUUUCCAGACAAGUUGACUAGCACUGGGACCUUUUGAUAUCCCAAAGAACUUAUGUGCAAGAGAACAAACAGGUAUCCUGAAAUUUUCCUCGUAGUAUGAAAACACCGGCGUAGUAAAACAGGUAUAACUCCUAUUCUGUUAAUCAAAUAGAGUUGUAGCUUAUACCGUUAGAAAACUUAUGAAAUUCCCUACAACUAUCAUAUAGAAAACCUCCUUAGGUUCUGUCUUUAAACUUAGGUAAAACAGCCAAACUUAAUAUCCAUCCUGAAAAUGUCUCAGCAAAGGUGCAGUAGAUUCCAAAAAUUAUAUCUCGAGCUACUUAACACAUCUGGAGAUGAUCCUUACAUUUUUGAAAAUAUUAGGAAAUCCUCUACAACUUUAGUAUACCACGUUUUUCCAGAUUCUAUCUUUAACUUGGCUGUAAAUAGGAAAUGCCAGAUCUAUCCAGAUUUUGAAACCGAACAGCAACAUCCAAGUUUAAAUGUCAUAUCUCAGGUUCUGCUUAUCCAAAUGAGUUCCAGCUUAUACUGUUGGAAAGCUUAUAAAAUUGUCUACAACUUUGCUAUAGGACACUUUUCCAAAUUAUAUAGUUAUAUUUGUCUCAAACAGUAAGCAACCAAAACUGGUCCAGAUUCUUGACAGCACAGUUGUAUCAUAUUGUGAUUUUUGUAACUUCCAAACCAUAACAGCUAUGAGGGUGAAUCUUGCGGUCAGGAAAAUAUCUUGAAGUCUAGUUGUUCCCAGAAAAAUUUGGUAAACUUUGCACGAUCAAAACUUGAGAUACUCCCAAAUCAUUGCAGACUGCUACAGAAAUCAGCAAGGGACAGAAACAAGAGAUAGCCAAACCCAACUACUUAUUCCACUAAUCCUUAUGCCUUAAGCCUAUGAACUAAUGAAAUUGUGAGGAAAUCCACAAGAUCAUUGCAAUCAGUACAAAGAUCCAAAUCAAGAAUGAACAUAAUAACAAACCAAUUAAGCAUUGAAGGUUCACACUUCACUCAACUUGCGAUACUAUCGUUCUCUUCAUAGAAAGGGCAAAGAUCCUAAAAUUCUCUUUCAACUACGUAAGCAGGUGGUAAGAGAAGAUUCUAAAAGCUUAUCAAAUCAAGGAGUAAAGAUGAGAACAAGUACUUUUAAAAUAAGCAACAAGGUAAAGAUGAAUAGCAAUGGAAAAGAUAUAGAAUAGAGAAAAAUAUCAAGGUUUAUAGAACAAGGAUUGUAUAACAAUUUAAAAACCUUAAGACGACCAAUUUCUAACUAGGCUUGCGUCCUACAGUCAGCAUUGCUUUGAUACCACUUUGUAAUACCCGAUUUUAAGGACAAAACCAGAUAUGCACCAUAUGUGAGUUUUAGAAGUCAAAUCUCACAUAUAGCUACAAAUAAUGGGUAAUAUCAAGAGACAAUGCAUAAAUAUAUAACAUACUUAGUAUAAAAGAGAUAACCUUCAGUAUCAAACAGUGGAUAGACAAUCUCCAAACUUCGGGUAUUACUUCUCUCCACAGGAUCCAACUGACUGGUUGAUCACAAGCCUAACAUCUCCUGAAGUGUGGGGGAAAUUGCAAGAGUGAGCAAAUAUCGUACUCAACAAGUAUAACCAGGGGUUCAUGAGGCUCAAAUAGCUGACACUGGUUUGACUGCAUUUAGCUUUUAUAUGUAGAUAACAUAUUUAAUCAUUGGAUAGCAAAUAUCAAGGUAGCAUAUUAAAUCCCAUAACCACAUGAUCAAUUGUAUACAGGAAUUAUGAAUAAUACAUAUAAACAACAUAAUAAAUCAUCAUUAUCAUUAUUAAUCAUGUUCAUCAGUGUUCAUCUAUUCCGUCAGUUUUCCGGGCUGCCCGUAUCCAUGGGCACGGCUAGUAUACCAGAUUUAAUACUCUGCAGAGGUUGUAGAUCUUUACCCAUGAGUCAUGAUUUACCCUUUCGCCCGAGGUGACCAGCCUCUUAGCUCACUUCCAAGGAAAGCCGACAGGGUUCACUAUGAAGUCUUUCAAAGGUUCGCCUAACAAGUUAGGGCCGCAAGGUUUCCUUUGCGCGCAGAUAUAGAUACCCCCCUUCCGAAUGGCACAAUGACGCGCAGCCUAUACACAUAAGGACAGGGGCUCGCACUAUACCCAAAACGGUUCAGCCCCUCCGCCCUUUUGGGUAACCUCUACCAAGCUAGAAAAGGUUACUCAUACUUGACUAAAGCCAGAGCCAUAUAGCCCUCAUGGUUGUACGAGUUGUCCCAGCUUUUGCCAAUGGAUAAGUCCUUAUGGAGGGUCAAGAUCAAUCCAGCAAAAGCCAGAGUUCUUUCCACCCUUUAUAUUCAAGUUGCUAGAAAGCUUAUUUUAUUGUUUAUUGUAUAUCCAAACAUUCAUGUUACAUGAUCAUGGAUUAGAUUCAAGCACUAGCAGGAACUACCAAAUGCAUAUCCAAAAUAGGUAACAAGGAAUCCAGGAUAACAAUCAUCUAUGAUUCUGCUAAGGUCAUCAAGGUGGACACAUGCAUAUGAUAAAUAUUGUAUUAAUGGUGUAUAGGUAACAAAGAUGAACCCACGUUAUACUUGCCUUGAUCAAAGCUCUCCUGAGCCUGCUGCUGGUCUUCAAAAGAUUGACCUCGAUCACCAACGUAUCGCUCACUGUCUAUACCCGAUCAUCAAUCAACAACACGCAUUCCAAUGGACAAUCAUACACGAAGCAAACAAGCUAUAAUUAGAACAAUAUACCAAAAAGUGGUAAAACAAAGAUAAAAGUUUAUGAAAAUAUUCUACGCAGCGCUACGAUCACACAAACGUAAUGUUCACGAAAAUCGGAAUUGAACGUAGAAGUUAUGAAUUUUCCAAGUUUUCCUAUAGAGAAAUAAUUAAUUAAAUGCUACUGCAGAAUUAAAAAGUUUCAAAACAGCAAACUAAUACUUCUAACGUGUAGAGCUCGUGAAUACGAAUCUAACGAAAUUUGAAUGGACAAAAUCGGAGCUAAAAAGAGCAUUUUAUGAGCAUUAUAAAAUCAGUGGCAAACUUGUAAAUAUCAGAAAAUGUAUUUUGAAUCAACCGACAGACUUUACGUUUUCAAAAACAGAAUAUGCCUUUCGUGAAUGUGCCUUGGACUGCGGGUUCUAAUACGAGAUUCCAGAGGGUCUCUUUAAGAAAACGGCCGGGCGAAGGGGUAUCCUUCUUUUUCGGCCGUAGGAUCGCGAUGGAACGGUGCAGAUCAGAUCUGGGGAGAGAGGGAGGGAGCUCCGGCCAGCUACAGUGGCCAGCGCGGUGGCGCCAUUGCCGGAGGGCAGAACUCCUCGCCGGAGUUCGUCGUUUUCACGAUUCAGUGCACGAUUCAACAAACGAAAAGAAUGGGAAGGCGUAGAAGCUUGCUGCGAACUCACCAGACCAAAAUCAAGGCUCGGGAAAAGCUUGAAGGCGUCCGACGGCUUGAGAUGGCGGACCGGGCACUCCUGCAAGGUACGGCAUCGAUGAGGGAGCUGUAGGGCGCGAUAGAGAUAAAAGGGGAGGCUCAGAACCCUUGUAGGAGCAAUACGAAGCUCGGCGUCACGAUUUAGGCGGCUCUGGGGCAGCACCGAGGAAGAACGAUGGCGACGGCAAUCUUUGGCUUGCGGCGAGAUCCAACCAGCGGCGAUAGAAGUUAUCUAGGGAUUCCCCAAUGUUGUGGAUGGAAAGAGGAGUGCGCGGGGAGACCACAAAACUUUAUAGGGCUUGAUUUGGGAAUCCCAGCACCAAAUCCCGGAUUUACCGGAUGGGUUUCCAUCUCGGUGAGAGAAGGAGAGACCGUCUCGGCCACGACCUGAGGAAGAAGAAAGGUAAGUCGCCGACGUGUGGGCUCCAGAUGGCAGCGAGAGAAAGAAAGGGAGAAAGGGGAGGGGCGCGCUGCUGGGCCGGAGAAAGAAGUGGGCCGGGGCGGUUAGCUGGGUCGCGGGGGAGGAACGGGGGCUGGGCCGAUGGGGAGUUGGGCUGGGCGCUGGAUGAGGUCUUUUCCCGUUUCUUUUUUUUUCUAUUUUAAUUUUCAAAGCCUUUUCCAAAUAGAAUUUUUAGAGCAACCAAAAUCCACCCCAAAGCAAUCAAAACAACAAUAAGAUAUGCUUCAGCAUGUAUGCAUAAACAAGUUUCUAACUCUAUGUUGAAUUUUAAAUUUCAAUAAAAUUUAUUUCUUCACUAAUUUAAAUGCUCACAGAAAUAUUUGAAUAAAUCAAUUUAAAUCCUAUUAAUUUGAAAGCAAAUUUUGGGUGUUACGCAAAUUGGGAGCUUCAGAUAAGUUUGUAAUCAUGAGUCAACAUUCAAGAAAUUUCACUUAAGAUAAGCAAUUGGGAGCUAGCAAGACUCGACUAAUGUAUUGGAGUAACCUGGUAGCUACCAACAUUCAGGAAAUUUCGGAGUCUGACAAAUUGAGAUGGAUGAACAUGCAGUAACCGGGUAGCUAACAGUUAGAAACUGGUAGCUUUUUAUCCAUUGAACAAAUUAAUAAUUCAGAUUAUUUGUUGUGUCCAAACUGAGAGCAAAAGGAGGUGGUGUUUGGUUGGGAAGAGACUGAAAGUGUCAUUGAAAGGGUGAACUACGCCCUUCCUUUCAGAAGAAAGAACAGAACAUAAAUAUUCAUCCAUAACAUGGCGUCCUUUAAUUAGUACGCUUUUAGCAACAGGGAAAGACACAUGAAAGCUCAUAUCUUGGUUUUGAAGAUAAUUUAUCACCGAUGUUGAUGCAAACUUGCAGACAUCCUCAAUAGCAACAAGCAAUACCAUAGAAACUAAAAAUGUUUUCCUCACUUGAACAAUUCCUUGGGCAAUGAGGCUGCUGCAGUGCUGCUGACUGGUGAGCUACCUAUUGGCCGUCUAAUGCUGAAUGGCAUGUUGCCUGCUGCUGUUAUCCGAUUGAUUCUGGUACAUCAUCACCGAGGCAGACCGGAAGCCAGUGGCGGAGGGAACGGGGCCCUGAGGGGGCCUGGCACCCCCAAACCUUCCCAUAACUCCUUUAAUACACCCCAUAGAUUAGAUGUUUAAUUGUCUAAUUAACUAGUUAAUGAUGUUAUCUGUACUAAAAUUUUUAUUCUUAUUUCAUAUUAAUCUCUAAUAGUUUUUUAUACAAAUAAAAUCUAGAUCUUUCUAAUAUUUUCUUCAUAUCUUUUAUUUUUAUUAUUACCUAUCAGACGGAGACGGGCGGGUGAAUAGUCAGUGGGCCUUCCCUGAUAUUAAAAUCUUUAUUUUUCCUAUUUUUAAAAACUGAUUUCGUAUUUUCCAGAAAAAGAUUUCUACAGGUGGUUGGCAUAACUGAACCACCUGUAGAAAUGCAUUUCCACAGGCGGUUCUCAAUUACUCGCCUGUGAAAAAAUUUAUUUCCACAGGCCACCAAACAUAGACGGUUCGCCAAACCGCCUGUAAAAAGGGAUUACGAACCGCCCCUCUGUGUACUAGUGACAAUUAAGCAUGGGGCAGUUGUGGCGCAGUCCUGUUAUUUUUCUUGAUCGAUCCAAAAAAAAAGGUCACUACAAGAUGCAGCAGGAAGUUAAUGAAGUGCGGAUAUCAUAUACGAAAAAGUCAGAGAUCAUGUGAAUAUAAUAGAAAAAUAACAUUUGUUAAUCUUGUGGCAACAGCAGGCUGCAGGCUUAUGGUCGAUAAUUUAUAUAACGCUGGACCGGUUCCAUGCUAGGAACGUCCCUAACCGAACGGGCUUUUACCAGUUCGUCUCCAUCUUGCUAUAUGUGGAAGCAUUCCACUCAAUUAAUUCAUGUAUGUUAGCUCCCGAAAAAAUGCUGACCAAGUUAACAAUGGGAACAUGAAUCUGCUAUGACUCAAGUGGUCACAAUGACUACAUGGAGAUCGUUAGAUAUUUAUAUAAUCAAGGUGCCAAGUAAAGAUAGAGGCUUUCACACUGUCGACUCUUUCUAUCUUUUGUUAGCGAGGAGUUGAUCCUUUCUAAUUUCUAUAGGUAUGUGAGCACAAGCAUGAAUGUGGACUAUUUGAAUCAUUUUUUAGAUUUUUUUCUAAAGGAUAAUUAGCAUGACCCUUCCUCCCAAAAACACAAAAGAAAAGAAGGAACACGUGCCAAAGAGAUCACAUAAUAUUUGUUUACUGGAAUGAGUGUGAAAUGAAAAUACUAAAAGCAAGGUAGGUUUGAAAAGGUUGGUAUAGUAAAAAGAUAAUUGUGUUGUUUCAUGUGCAGGUUCUACGAGCCGGAGACUGUUUCUUCUGUUGGUAGGUUGAACUUGGAAGUUUUCAGUCAUUAACACGUUCACGUCACCACACUUGCCGCUGUGGCAAGCCUAUAUAAAUGCACUAUCCCCAUGCCCAAAGCAUCAACAGAGACACAAACUCAACCAGAAGCUCGCUAUAGCUGAGUUCGGAGACAACAAGAUGGCUCCAGCCACCUACUUUCUCCUCGUUUCUUUUCUAGCAUUGGUCACUUCUCAGGCCAUUGCUUCUGACCCAAGCCCGCUCCAGGACUUCUGUGUUGCCGACAUACACUCUCCAGGUAUCCAUGCACUAACAUUAAAUAAUGCACUAUGUCUUGUUGUACUAAAUCACAUAUCAAAUUGGAAUUAUUUGUCAGAACAGAAACUAGAGUUUUAUGUAUGUCCUAAUUAUAAUGAUUUCUGAUCGUUAUGUACCUAUUUUUCUGUCUUUGUAUAUGCAGUGAAGGUGAAUGGAUUUGUCUGCAAGGACCCCAUGGCUGUGAAUGCAGAUGACUUUUUCAAGGCAGCAAACCUUGACAAACCUAGGGACACAAUGAAAAGCAAGGUUGGAUCCAAUGUCACUUUGAUCAAUGUCAUGCAGUUGCCUGGACUCAACACCCUAGGUAUCUCGUUGGCUCGCAUUGACUAUGCACCAUUAGGUCAGAAUCCGCCACACACCCACCCACGUGCCACGGAGAUUCUCACCGUGCUUGAGGGUACACUCUAUGUUGGAUUUGUCACCUCCAACACAGACAAUGGCAACAAGCUAUUCACCAAGGUUCUCAAGAAGGGUGAUGUGUUUGUAUUCCCCCAAGGGCUCAUCCACUUCCAAUUCAAUCCUAAACAUGACAAGCCAGCAGUCGCAAUCGCGGCACUAAGUAGCCAGAACCCUGGGGCUAUAACUAUUGCCAACGCAGUCUUUGGAUCAAAGCCACCAAUCUCAGAUGAUGUCUUGGCCAAGGCAUUCCAGGUGCAAAAGGUGACAAUUGAUUGGCUUCAAGCUCAGUUCUGGGAGAACAACCACAACUAAAUAAAUCAUGUUCGGCCGUUGUAUGAGUUCUGCAAUAAUUUGUAUGGGAAUAUAGAACUUUUUUGCACUUUACUUACUACUGUAUGUUUUUAUUAUUUCUAUGCUACUAAUGAUAAUAAAAUAAAUGGUCAGUAUUUCUCUACUAUAAUUGUAAUUGUGUCCGUGUUGUGGCUCUGCCACCAUGACUUUAAUCAAAAAAUUAAUGUAAUUUAUAUGACUGCCGGUUAUAUGGGGUAUAUAUAGUGAGCAGCCAAAUGCUUGACCAGAUGCAGUACCAAGUUAAUGAAGUGUAGAUAUCAUGUUUGCAAGUGGACAGAUAAUCAAUUUAUAAUUUUACCACUGGGAAGGUAUAACUUUGCAUGAAUAUAUAGUAUUGAUAACUAAAGUUUACAUAUGAGAGAUUUAAUCAAUAUCAUACACUCACAUGAUAAAGAUAUAUAUACUCCCUUUCUAUAUGAUUUAGUCAUUUUGGACAAGUUUGGGUCAAACAUUGAGAAUAUAAAUCAUCAAUAACUUUUAAAUGCUGAGUUUGCAAAUGUUUCAAUUAUAUGAAUAGAUUUGUCUUGAAAAAUACUUUCAUAAAAGUAUACAUAUAUCAUUUUUUCCUAGAUAUUUUUAUAAAAAUAAGAGGUCCAAGUUGUGUUUUGGAGACCGUGUCAUUGUCCUAAAUGACUUCUAAAUCUUAUACGACAGAGUAUAUAUAUAAAUGAUAAGUACAUAUUAAGCAUCAUAAUAGAUAAAUAAAUAAUUCAUUUAGAGCCCUCUAAUUAUAGCAAUAGCCAUAGUCCAAUUAGAAUAUCAGAAGAAUAGUUCCUAAGUUCAGGAGCAUUCUUGGCAAGGUUGUCGCUAUCAAUGUCGAAGCACACGCGGGAUGGAGAGUAGUAGUUGAUGUCGUUAAAGUCAUACUCUGAGCCAUUCCUUGAGAGGAUCAGAGAGCAUGGGCGGCGCCAGGGGUAUGCCCAUGUAUUCCAUGGAAUACCCAUGAUUUUUGUGACAAACACAAAUAUAUGUAUAUAUACACACACAUGUAUAAUCAGCAUAUAUGUUAGUUUAUUGAAUGUUGCAAAUAUGUAGCCCAUAAAAGAACUCCAAUAGUCUGGCUAAAAUUAAUUAUCAAAUUCUAUUGCUUAGCUAUUUUGUCCAAUAGAAAAUUUCUAAAAAAUGAAGAGAUCUACAACAUUCUUGUUACUUUACAAAGUCUUACAGUUAGCGUCUGUAAGAAGCUAUAUAUAGCCACCGAAAAUCAAGGGAAAGCCAACUUUCUAUUUUACAAAAUUAGAUAGCAUAUUAGUUGGAGUCUAUUUUGCUAUACAAAUUCUAAAAUAGCAUAAACAAUAAGAAUAGUUAAACUCUUGAAGUUGCUCUAAGCCUAGUAGAACAACUAGUAGCGGCUGCCCAUGAACUCAUCAGAAAGAAACCCCAUCGAUGGCAUUCCUCUGGCGGCGGCGGUGGUCAGUGGUCUUUGUAGGCUUUCUCAUAUAUGGCUCCCCUCAACGCCUUUCUCAUAUAUGGCUUGAAGCAACAACAAGGUGAACAUAAAGAUCCCACAUCUAUUUUUUUAUUCUUCAAAGUAACAAUUGAAGGUUUCGUUUUCUUCUUUUUUUGUUGCGUUUUGAUUUUUUUAAAGAAAUGUUGCAUUGUAUUCUUGUAACAUAGAUAAAGAAUUUAUAUAUACUUUGAUUAUUAUCAGGGGCGACACUAGGCUCACUUUGCCUGAUGUCUUGUUACUAGGAUAAACAAAUAUUUUACCUAGCAUAUAUUUUAAAAAAAAUUAUAUGUACUACUUGAGCUGCACCAGGAUCAAUUUUGUAUUGAUUUUGUCCCCUAUUACUAUUACACAUAUACAUAGAAAAUUUUUAUACGUGGAAUACCCAACUAUAAAAUCCUAGCUCCGCCACUGUUAGAGAGGAAGGUGUGUAGAGAGGGGGGAAUGGCCCUACUGUGCCGGAGAUUUGUCCCCUUUCUGUCAUGCCCCGUGCAUGACCUUGUCGGAAGCAUGGAGGACAGCACUGCAUCCAUCAGACAACACUGCAGCCCCAGAGCCUUGGGUGCUCGGGGCGCUAGGUUCUGUUGAAUAUAAUGGGCCUUUAGCCCAUAAUUAUAUUUAAUGAUUAAUUAAAGAGCCCAUAAUAAAUGCGAUAAUG
rnacentral:lncRNA from 1 species